UCUUUCAUCUUCAAUUUCUCCUUUACGUUUGAAAUUUGUGGGAGAAAUUUUUUUAUUCUUCUUUCUUCCAUUUUCAAGAAAAUAAUUUAUCAGUGAUGUCGAUAUUAAUGGUGUUAAAUCAAAUGAUUCAUCAGUGAAAUUUCUGAGAGAAAUUUCUUGACUUUUCUUUCUUUCUUUUUUAAGAAAAUGAUUUAUCAUUGAUACCACCAACAUCACCGCACCAAUACUAUCAAUGGCAGGAAUCGAUUCAGCACCCGAUGUCACCAUUGAUGGUGUUAAAUCAAAGAAAAAAAUGGGAUUUAGCUCCUUUAAAAGGGAAGUUUGGUCCUUCAAAACACAAGCUGUUGAAAAUUUAAAAAAAAGCCACACUUCAAAAGGUACUAUACAUAUCUAUCGGAUUAAAAAUUCGUCAGGUACAUAAUUUUUACUAUUGAGAUACAUAAAUGGCUUCAUUUUAUGCAUGAGACAUAAUUUUAAUUAUGUAUCUUUCUUCAGUCUUAUUACAAUAUUAUGUAUGUAGACUAAAGAGAUUAAAAAAUAAAUGUAUCUUAGUACUAAAUUUUGAUAUUGUGAUACACAAUUAACAUUAAUUUCAUGCCUGAGAAAUAAUUUUAAUUAUGUAUCUCUCUUUAAUAUGAGACAGAAUUAUGUAUCUCCACCUAAUAACUUCAAAAAGUGAUUGUAUCUGAGUUAAUAUGACUACGACACAGACUAAUUACUAACUGCUUUAUUUUUUAUGUACAUCAAUGUUGGGUAUGCAUUAUAUAGUUAAAGAAGAUUCACCGCAUCAGUUAAGGUAUGACAGAUUUUGCAAUGCUAAAAUUCUAAAAGAUUUUAAAGAAAUUCUGAAAGAUAAGGGGGUGGAGUUGGUCGGUCAGACGGGGGUGAUAUUCUUUUGAAUUUUAAAGAAAGGAGAAGAAUGUUUCAACAAGAUGAAUGAGGGUCCUUUUUUUGAAAAAAAAUAUCAACAUUAUAACUAGUUAUGAAUUUCUAGGGAUUUUGACAGUAAUUUUGAAGUUAUAAAGCAUGAUUUUCUCCUUAAUUUUAUUAUUUUUCUUUUUUUAGCGUGUCAUAGUUGUUUUAAUGGAUGUGUCAGAUAAGAUGUAUCUCUUAUUAAUAGAUGUAUCAGAAAAAUAGAAAUUCGAGAUUUUAUGAAAUUUUGCCAUAGUUGUUUAAUUGGAUGUAUCAGAUAAGAUGUAUCUCUUAUUAAUAUAUAGAUGUAUCGAAAAAAUAGAAAUUCGAGAUUUUGUGAAAUUUUAUUAAACGUUGGAAUAGGACGUAAUUUGGGAUAAACAUGUAGAAAUUUAUGUAAAACAUUCACUCAAUUUUAUUUUUCUUCCCUUCAUUUCUCAUUCAUCUUUUGUAAUUAGAACACAACAUUUUAGUGUCUUGAAACUAAUUCUCAAUAAUCCUUUUAUAUCUUUUUGCUAAUAUUUUAGGAAAAAAGACAUUGUCUGACCAUGAUAAAACAAAUAGUUCAUAUAUUUGAGUCAAUUGACAAAGAAUGAUUAAUCGGUCAAACUAAUUCCUAAAAUUGGCUAUUUUCAAUCUUUUUCCCAUUUGGAUCACUUUCAUCUACCCUUCCUUUCAAACCAAUUCCUAAAAUUGGUCAUUUUCAAUCUUUUUCCCAUUUAGGUCAUUUUCAUCUAUCCUUCCUUUCAUUUGUACGCUCGAAAAUUAAGAACAAUCUCUUGAGAUUGAUAUGGAUGAAACAUUUCCUCCUUUAACAUGGUGAUGAAGCCCCUUCUCAGAAGCAAGAGAGGGUUUUUAAUUUAAAAUCAUGGAGUAAUUGUAGCUAUAUUUUUCAUAUAUUUGUUAGAUUUUCGUCCAAUAAUUUCAAAUCCCGCUAUAACAUUUUCUUUUUGCUACAAAUUUUUUGACAUAAAAAAAUGUGCUUUUUUUUAAAAGAAAAUAAUUAAAUACAAUUGUAUAGAAAACUUUAUAUUUUUCUAUAAAAUAUGUAUUAAUAUAAGAUAUAUGUAUAGAAAUUAGAUAAGAUUUGUAUAUAAAUUGUAUAGUUAUUGUAUAAAAUAUGUAGUAUAAAAUACAUAUAAAAAUUAUAUAGAAUGCGUAUAGAAAUUAUUUUAUUUUAUAAAAUACGUAUUUGAAUAAUAAAAACCAAUUGUAUAGAAACUUUAUAAUUAUUCAAUAGAUUAUGUAUUAAUAUAAGAUAUAUGUAUAGAAGCUAAAUAAGAUUUGUAUAUAAAUUGUAUAGUUAUUGUAUAAGAUAUGCACUAUAAAAAAUUUGUAUGUGUGCAGAAAUUAUAUGGUUGUUUCAUAAAAUACAUAUUUGAAUAAUAAUUGUAGCUAAAGGUUGUAUAGAAUGUGUGUAGAAACUAUAUAAUUUUUAUAGAAUGUGUAUAAAAUUAUAUAAUUAUUGUAUAGAAUAUGUUUUUGUAUAUGUGUGUGUAGAAAGUGUAUAAAUAUUGUAUAUAUUAUGUAUUUAAAUAUUAUUCCAGCUAAAGGUUGUAUAAAAUGUGUGUAGAAAACAUAUAAUUAUUGUAUAGAAAAUGUAUUUGUAUAAUAUAUGUAUAGAAAUUAUAUCACUAUUGUAUAGAAUAUGUAUCAGAAUAAUUAAUGAAACUAAAAAUUGGAUAGGAUAUGUAUAGAAACUGUACAAUUAUUAUUAUGAAGUGUAUGUAAGUUGUAUCAUUAUUUGUAUAAUAUAAAUAUAUUGCCCUUCAUUAAAUGUUUUACUUCAGACAAAAUCGUCUUUUCACCUUUUUUCUUAAAUUAUAAUAUUAAAUGAUGAUUCUAAUAUUUAGUAUUUUAAAGUUAAUUAGAGUUCUUUCUUACCUAGGUCAGAAAUCACAUCAUUUAACACUUUUAAUUCACUUAAAAUUUACCUUAUAUAAUAAAGGGCAAAAUUCAGAAAUAACAUACUUAUCCCCUUAAUUAUGAGUUUCAUAUUAACAGUUUCAUAAUUACAUAAUAUAGCAAGUUUUAUUUUAUAUUUUUGCAAACUGUUGCUACAAAAAUACAAAUACAUAUGAUUUUUACCGUCCUUAUGAUCGAUAUGUAUUUUAUAUUUUUGUAAGUUACUACAAAAAUACAAAUAUAUACAAAUACAUAUGCUACAAAAUGUAAUUUGAUAAAAGUGUUGCUAUUUUUUGUAAUUUAAAACUUAAGUGUGCAACUUUAUGUAUUUUUUCCUGUAAUAAAAGAUUCUUAUAAUUGUAUUAAAACAAUAUCAACAAAAAAACUAAAAGUGUCAAAAUUUGGGUAGGUGAAAAAGCAUAAAAUUUAACACUUAUUUAUUAAAUAGAAUUAUACCUUAUAUAAAAAAAAAUAUCUAUAAAUUAUUGUGCUUCUACAUUUUCUUUUUAUUUUGAUAUGUUUAUAAAUUAUCGUGUUUCUAUAUUUUCUUUUUAUUUUGAUAUUUUGAUUGAUGAUUAAUUAAAGCUUUCUUCUUACACUCCUUAUUAUCAUUUUCUUUUUCUUCUUCAUUCCUUUUAGUUGAUAAAAAUUAAAUAUUAUAUAUGUGUUAUACAUAAUUAAUACGGGAUUUUUCCUUUUAAUAAUUUCUCACAUUUCUCUUUCAGUUGAAAAAUUAUACGAAACAAGCAUAUUAUCGUCGAAUGAAGUAGCUGAAAAAAUCAAAGGUUUAUCUCUUUUCCUUUUCAAUUACUUUUUACGAGCGUUGUAUUUCUCCUUCCGACUACUGCAAAUUUUACUCCUUUCACAUGUAUUUGAUAGUUUAUACGUAUAUUUGCUAUAUAUUCCAAUAACGCAUAGUGCUAAAUUUUUUAAAGCAACAUCAUAUAGCACUAUUAUGAUAGUAAUUUCACUUGAUUCAGUUAUUAUUUUUUUCCUUGCGACAGUUUUUUUAUGCACUGUUCAUUUGUUGUAUAAUAUAGUUCAUGUUGAAAUAUUUUGUUGAUUAACUUUAGUAUUUCUUUGUUAAAAUUCUUUCCUUAGCAUAUUAUAUUUUCUUAUAAUAGUAAAGAUAUUAAUUUGUUGCCCUCUAACACUUUCUAAAAUCAUAUGAAUUGCUCCAUAUGUUACAUCGAGAAAACUUAAGCAUUUUUUAUCGUUCCAUAGUCCUUGUAGUUUUUCUUAAUUCAGUUUAAAAUGAUUUUUAAUGCUUUUAUAUGAAUAUAUUAAUUUUCUAUUUAAAAUUUUUUGUAUUUAAUAAAAUCAUCAAUUUAUUUUUAAUCAAUGUAUUUUUUACUUUAUAAUAUUAUAAAAUUGAACUCAUUGAAGCGAGACACACGUGCGGAGCGUGUACCCUAAACUAGCAUAUAUAUAUAUAUAUAUAUAUAUAUUUGGUAUCAAAUAUGCAUUGACACAUUCUUUUUUAAAUGUAUGUGAAGAAAAAAAUUCUUUUAUACAAUAAUUAUAUAGUUUUUAUAAUUAUUAAUUACUUUUUAUUUUGAUAAGAUUAAAAAAAUAAAUAAUUUGAUUAUUCUUUCAAAUAAUGGAGGAGAAAAAAGUAAAGGAAUGAUUAGAAAAAAGAAAUUAAAAAAAAUAAAGAAGCACGGACGAAUCAGAAAUUAAAAAGCAAAAAAAAAUAAAUAAAGAACAUGCUUCCACAAAAAGAAAAGAAAUUUAAAAAAAAAAAAAAAAAAAAAAAAAAAAAAAAAAAAAAACAUGACUAAUCAAAAAUUAAUAAAUUUUUUUUUUUUUAAAAAAAAAAACAUGCAUCUGCACGUAUAUCGAUGAUGGAGUCAAAUUUGUUUUGGCCUAUCCGCCAUUAUUGCACUUUCCCCAAUAUUUUGACAGCAAUGUUGUAGACAUUCCUGAUGAAUCUGACUGGUCUAUAAUCUUUCAGUUCAAUUGCACCUUUUUGGGAGAACUCGGGUAAUAAACGAAACAUUGCAUAAUCAUCUUAUUACUGAAUGGCAUUUUUAAAAUGAAAGCGAAUAAAAGUAUCCGUCAACUCAUCUAUAAUAAUUCAUCAUAUUAAUAAAAAAAUAAGAAAAUAAGAGUAAAUACUUAAUUACUCUCUGAUAUUGGCUGAGAUUUUCAAAAAAUAUCUAAACUUUAAAUUUGACAUAUUACCCUACGAUUAUUAUUUAAUUCUUUGCAAAUACAUCAUUUUUCACUGAAUCAGUCACAAUAAAAAAAAUGAACACACGCACCAAUCAAAUACUGCCACAUGUUAAAUAUAUCUAAUUUCAUGUUUUAUUUAUUUUUUAAUAAUUUUUUUUUAAUUUAAUUUAUCACCCCACUCCAUUUAAAUUAAGUUUUAAGCUCCAUUUUUUUUUAUUUAUGACCCCACACCACCCCUUACUUCCAUCCCCACUCCGUCCAUCAUCUCCCUCCCCCAUCUCUGUCCAGUUUCUUUCAUUAAAAUGGAACUUAAAGCUCCACUAAAAUGGAGAUUGUACAUCAGCUUUCCUUUUUGAAAUUAUGGUAAUGAUAAUGUCAUUUUUGUUGCUUUAAUUGAUGUUGGUGCUCCUGUAAUUGAUGUUGUUAUAAUUGAUGAUAUUAUUAUUGUAAUUGAUGUUGUUGUUGAGUUAUGGUGAUGAAGAAGAAGUUUGGAAAGAAGACAAUGGUGGAUGAUGGGUUUAUGAAAUAAUUUUAAAAAAUAAAUAAAUAUUAAUUUUUUCCUUCUAAAAAAUAUAUAAAUUAUAUAUUAAUUAUUUACACGUAGCAGCUUUUAAUUGAUCAAAAAAAUUAAAUUUGAGCCCUUUCACGCGCUUAUGGCACGUGUAUACACGCAGUGAUCCAAAAUAGUAUAUUUGCAACGGAAUAAAGAAGAAUGGAUAAUAGAUCGAAUUCAAAAUUUAGGUGUCUUUUUAAAAAUGUCGGCCAACAUCCGAAGAGUAAUUAUGUAUUUACUCAAAAAAUAAAAAUAAUUAUAUAUGUUGCUUGUCGUGUACAGAAUUUUGAUAGUCUUGGAUUACCCCUUACAUAUGUUGCUUGUCGUCACUUAUAAUGUUAUAUUUUAUCGAUCUUUAACUUAUCAGUGCAGUUGUUCCAAGGCUAGGCUUUUCUUAUGCUAAUUCUUCUCUUAUUAUAUUUACUAGAUUUACUAUUGCACUGAGCCCUAUUCUAUCUCGGGUAACCUGAUUACGGCUUUAUCUGAUAGAAUUUACUAUACUUGGGGGAGUAUGUGGUAUCUCUCCACCUUCUCCUUUAGCAACUGGAUUUCUAUCUCCAUGACAUCUCAUCAACCUUUGUCAAUUGUUGUAAUUCCAAGUAUCACACUUCAUCUCUUGCCACCACCUGGUUAUUUUAGGAAUUGACAUGAACUGGUUUAAUGAGGCUCAAGGUACCACCUGACUCGUCAGUCGCACCCCCUUAACAAAAAAAUCAAAUUAAAUAGGAGAAAAAAUUGAACGCCCACAAGUACCUGAAAUUCUUACAAUGCAUUGUAAAAUAAAACCCUUCAGGGUUCAAACUUUGGUUGUUUGAAGUAAGGUCUGAAAUCACUAAGAAAUUUCUACAGUAAAAACAAGCAUGUCCCUCAUUCUAUAGGGACCAACAUCAGUGGCAAAUUUUGCAAAACCUGAAAAAUAAUGAUACUAGCAACUAGGAAGAGGAAGCCAGGGUUCCUAGGAGCUACACCAGUACAGUAAAGAACACCUGCACAAAAACAAAAAUGGGUAAAAAUGUAAAAGAGUAUAUCAAACAAUAUACUCUUUAGGUUGACGGCGAGCAUUUUAAUUUCUUCCACCUCUGAAGGAGUAUUGCAACUUUGUGACAAUAUCUUCGAUCACCUUUCUAAAAGCUCAUCUUGCAAUUUGUGCACAGGUGGAAUCGUCUUUGUUUGACCAACUCUCGCUGAUUCUACAUGCCUGAAUUGAGCGAUCGAUCUGGAGACCUACAGUUCCUUCCUUCUCCAGGAGCGAGCAAUAGCUUCCGAAUGUCGGGACACUUACAUGAAGUUGAAAAUCCAGUCCAAACAAGAAUUUCAUCUCCAGCUUAUUCAACUCUUUUGUGGUUACACCACCUACUCUUGCAUAGUAUGCAUUGUUAUAAAAUCUGAAAAUCAUGCACAGCAUCAUAUAAAGAUUCAAAUAAGCGAGGGUCCAUUGCUGAAUUAAAAUGUUGCAACACCCUUCACUGUGUUUCAGGAAGCAAGCAGAUAAUGAAUAGCAUAUAUGAAUGCAUGAGAUUAACUCCUUUGUGUUAGUAAUCCAAAGGGAAAGCUUGCUGCAUGUGGUUGGAACAGGGUUUCAGGUUGGACUCUAAUACUCAACUAUCCAAUCGGAUGACUAGUCAACAUGACAAUAAAUCUCAAAGCAUGUAUAGCUAUUACACAUUUUGGUAAAGAAUGAGGUAUGAAAGAUCAUGUCUGAUGUAAACUUACGCAUCAUCAAUGAAUUUAGCUGCCACCAUCACACUUGUGAUAAGUAGUCGGUGAACAUUGAGGGAAGUUAAAUGAGCACUAGUGCAUUCAAUGAAUCUCUCCAUGUAUAUGUGUGCAACCAUAAAGCAUGAAGGGCUGCAACAUGAAUACUUAAAAAUGCGAUCCAAGUAUUGUUCAAUACCGAGAGAGGGGGUUCUUGAUCCAUGAAAUAUUGUGAUCACGUCUUUUCUUUUUGUACUUUCUAAUAGGCUUUCAGUAUUUUGAAUAGACCUCUCAAGAAGUGUCGAAAGAAGCGAUAGAACUCUGGGUUUUGCUGAUUUUUCCUUGCCAGAUACCUUCAGCCCCAAUUUGAAGUAAUGUUUCGAGCAUAUGACCUCAGGUUCAGGUGCCAAACUUCCCAUGUCCUGGGGAUCAAAGAGUAAAUGGCCUCAAUACACUUGAACAUUACAAAAGAAAGUAUAAUCUACAAUAUAUGAAGUGAUUGAACAUUCAUAAGCGCAGAUGUCGUGUCGCGGUAAAAAUUCCAGCUGAUCAGCCUCGGAAUCGAUCAAGGAGUUAAAAAGUAGGGAGAGUAUCUUUGACUCUUAACCCUGAAGGUGGCCAUGUUUAAGGAGAUUCUCUAAAUUAUCGCCCAAAAAGAAGGACCAAAACCUUCUAUGCUUGAUUUAAAGUUCUUUGGCGAAGAAAGAGGAAUUUAAAGUUCAUAGCAAGAGACUGUUAUAUAACUUCUGCUUUUUUUGGAGGGGAGAUAAGUAAGAGCAACUCCUUAAGCUUAAGCAAGACCACACCUUUAUCUAGUACACGAAUGUUCACGGUUUCUGUUAAGACUUGAUUAAAAUGAAAAUAAAGACUAAAAUGUACAGCAUCGGAAUCAUUUUUUUAGCAGUAAGCAGGAUGGUGAGCUUGAAUUCUGAAAAGCGUCAUCUCUCUAAGGCUUUUCGUAAUGAUGCAGAAAAAAAAUCAACAAAUGCUGAUUUCUUCAGACAACAAUGUUUAUUAUCCUUCAUGCGUAAUUUAUUUUUUUGGGGGACAUUGAUAACUUUAUCCUUCAUGUGUAAAACUAAAUGCAUAAGAAAACAGGUGAGGUUAUAAUUUCAGGGAAGCUAGCUGACUCUUCAAACAUGGAAACGUAAUUCAUGAAGUUACCAUAAUUGACAUGCUCAAUUUAGGGAAAGUCAAGUUUCUCCAGCUAAACUGCUAUACAAUGUUAGAAGUGCAACUUGUUAAAUGUGAUUAUCUUCUAUUUGCUCAUCAUUAAAAUAUACCAAGAGUUGCACAUGUUUUUUCUCCAUUAACCCAAAAAAAAAAAAAAAAGUUACACAUGUUUGUUAAACUAACACUUUUACUUAAAAUUGAAAAUUAAAAACAAUAAACAAUUGACCGAAACAUUGGUUUAUCUGUUAAAAAGAGAAAUAGAAAUGUACAGGACUAAACUAAAAGAAACCAUACAGUGAAACUAUGAAUUGAUGAGUGACAAUAUGACUGCUUAAUACCACCCAAAUCAUAACAAGUUACCAAAUGAUUAGCAUCAUACAGCACAAGAUAUACUCCGAUAAUGGCAUUUGAUUUUCAAUUCUAAGAAGAUAUAGAUUUUCAUGAAGAAUAUUCAAACAGCUCAUUUAACUUACAGGCAAAUGCACUAAUUUCUUGAAAUCUCAGCCAUGCUUUGGGAUCUGAAAUGAGUGUCGUAAUGUACAACAGGACUUGGUUAAAAAACACACGGAGUACUAAUCCAUAUGCACCAUUCUGUCACUACAUCAUUUACACUAAAGUGUAAAAACAAUUACGUCGGUCUAAAUUUACUCCCAUAAAUAGCUUAACGAACCAUAAAUGUGUCAUCCAGAAACUCUCUCCUUAUUUAGUACUAGUCAUACUGAAACAAAUUCAUCAACUAUGAGAUCCUACUCUGCCAGCAGCUUAUACCAGAUUCCACCAUAAGAGACUACAUUCAGUCUGAAAUUGUCACCCAGUACCUGUGUCACAUUAAUUUUGUACUAGACACCAGGGGCGGAGCUAGAUAGGGCAGAGGUAGUUCAUCCAAACCCCAUUUGAUGGAAACUAGACUGUCCAUAUAUGGUUAAAAUUAUUUAAAUUAUUUUCUAUGUAUAUACAGCAGAUGUUGAACCCCUUUGACUUUCUCUGUGUUUAAUUCACAACCAUUCUCCGAAGAAAGUGUAACAGCUCACCGGUCUAGCUCCAUGGCACCGAAGUCAUACUUUAAAUCCCGUUAGUGAGAAUCCUAUCUCCGCCACUGAUACACACACUCAAAAACUAGUUUAAACAUUCAUCUACUUAAGUUCUUGAACACAUUAAAUUCAGUUAUUGAAAUUUCCAACGAGCAGGUAGACAAUUAAACUUAAUUGACAGAUCUAAAGGCAUUGAGUCAGAAUCUAGUAAUAAUAAAAACAAGAAGAAUAUCAACACAGCUAAAACUGAAAAUUCUUUCUACAUAAACCAACCAACAUUAAGAAUAUGCUUCACUUCCCAAAAGGAUAAUGCAUCAAAGCACAAUAUUAAUAACUUCAAAUUACCCUGAGAACCUCAUUAGAAUACUUUUUAACUUAGUAGCCAAAAAACAUAAAGCAUAGAUCUACUUAACUAUCAACAAAGCACAGAAGUAGCUAAAAAUGUAGCUACCCAGAAAAUAAAUUGAAAAAAAGAGAGAAGAUUAAUAGAAAGAGAAAAGGGGCCUACAGAGCAAAGAGGAUAAUUCUUAUUCGUGAGAGAUCUGGUAAUUUCAGUUGGUACUUGAAAUUUCUACAUUAGAACCCAAAUCUAAUGUGCAGCUAACAAAAGGGGGCAAGAAGACAAUACCAUAUCAGGUGAGUAGUUCCAGUUUUGAGCUACCCACCCUGACCCAAGUUCACUAUCUUUUUCCCUUUGUUUAGUUCUCUCUACUCUGUACUACCCUCAACCAAAAUAGGUGAUAGUACUAGUUUAUUGAAAGAAAAAAGUGAGUAAGAUGAUGGGUUUCUUCCAACUCCUCAGUCUCAUUUUAUGUCUCCUAUUAUUUUGACCGAACAUAAAAUUUAAAAAAUAAGAAAAAAUUUGAUAAUAUUUAUCAGAUUGUUUUUUAUCAAAAAAUCUGCUAUUUACUUUUUUUUUAAUUAAAUAGAAUUACUAAAGCUAAAAUUAUAAUUAUGUCUUUAAAAUUUACUAAAUGAGGAAAGACGAUAUUCUUUUUAAAACGAAUCAAAAAAGAAAUAACAUAUAUAAUUUGGAAUGAAAAAAGUAUUUAUUUUUAGUUUCUCUUUCCACACACACCAAGAAGAGCCAGUUGGAUUUAUCUUGUUUUAGGAUGCUUCACAUGAAGAGUAAAAUAAGAUUUGGAUACACACUAUUAUGUGUAGUAGAAGCAUAUGAUGAUAUGUCAGCUUGAAGAGGAAAAUAGUUGUUUUAGGAGUAGUUUGGUAGAGUGUAUUAGAAAGUUAAUAUAUGUAUUAGUUUAAUGUAUAUUAGUAGUAUCUUGUUUGAUAUAUCUUUUUAGUUUAUGUAUAACUAAUGUAAGUAAUAAUUAUACGCUCUAUUGUAUAUUGAGGUGUGUAUUAUUAAUACCUCAAAAUCUAUGGUAUUAAUAAUGCAAUGGAUCUAAUACAUGCAUUAACAUGUUUAAAAAUACUAUUACCUCUUAAAAAAAUUUCUGCACCCUUUUCAACAUAUAUAUUGAGAGUAUUAUGUAAAAAAAAAAAAUUAAAAUAAAUUAUGUAAUUCAUAUUUUUUUUAAUAUAGCGAACCAAAUACUGCAUAAGAAAAAUAUAAGCAUAACUAAUGCAAGCAUAACUAACACAAACAUUACUAAUAUACCAUAUUUUGCAUUAUUUUUAUACAUUCUAACAAACGACCCUUAAGGGGAUGUAUGGGUAAAUGCAAUACUCCCUUCGAUCUAUUUUAUUACUGGGUACUCUUUUUUUUUUUUUAAUUCGUUCUAAAAAUAGUACUAUCAUCUUAUUCUAUUUAAAAAAUAUUUUAAAGCACAAUUUUUUUUAAAAAAAUCCUUAAAUACAGUAUUAAAUAAAGAAUGUCAGAAAUAAGCCAAGGAAAUAAUAUAUAAAUAAGGAAAAACAAUGUGAAGUGUCGGUAGUCUGAAUCUAAUCAGAAAAUCACCAUUGUUUUAAAUAUGGGAAAAUUAACUCUUUCAUUACCGUGCGGUGCGGCGUUAGUCCCACACUCCCACAAUAUUUCUUUCUCCUUUUUCAUUCGGUGACCACCGGAUGAGGUUAAGGUGUUGUAUGGUAAGAGUGCUUUAUAAAAUAUAAUACUCCCUCCGUUUUAACUAAUUUUCUUUUUAGUCCAUUUUAAAAAAAUAAUUUUUUUUCUUUUUCUAUAAUACUUUAAUUUUAACUUUUCACAUGACAUAUUUAGGAUCACAAGAUUAAAGGGCAUUUUGGUAUAUUUGACAUAAUUUUAAUAUAAGACCACAAGAUUCAAAAAUCUUCUUUAUUUUCUUAAAUUUUGUGCUAAGGCAAAGUAGGUCAUUCUUCUUUAAACGGAGGAAGUAAUAUUUAUAUCAGCUUUAUAUAUUAUUAUUAAUAUUUUAUUUGAUAUAAUCUAUAUCUAUAAUCUAUAUAUAAUAUAUUAAAAGUGUGAAAACCUUUAAAAAAAAUGAUUCGACCCUUCAUUAAAAUACUCGGCAAUAGAUAAUAUCGUUUUUUCACCUAUUUCGAUAAAACCCUGAUAAAAUAAAUAUAUGAAAAGAUUAAAAAUCCUAAACUACAUAAAAUAUAUGAAUCCUAAAAUAUAUAAGAAAAAAUAAACAGUCCUAAAAUAGUAUAUGUAAAGAAUCACAUUAAAUUCUUUUUUACCUUUUUCAACAUUUUCUUCUGAUUGCAAAUAGGUUCGUCCGGAGUUUUAAGCUUCUAUAUUUGAUGCCUUUUUUUGUUUGUUUAUUUAUUUAAAUUUACCUUCAAAAUAAGUUUGUUUAACAAAACUUCGUAUUGAUUACAAGGUAUCGAUUACAAGUGAAUUUAAGGUAUGUUUUUUCUAUUCUAAAUUUUAUUUUUUAUUUAUAUUAGUUCUACUUCUUAUUAAGGCGUAAUUCGUGUUAAUACUCUUUUGUCAAAUCAUACUUACAUUAAAAAAAACUAUUGAGAUAAAAAUAAAGUGAAAAUCGUGAUUUCUGAUAAUAGCAAACAAAUCAUAGUGUCAAAAAGUAUCAAACAAAGUCAUUAAUUGACUAAAAGAUAAAACAUAAUGGGAAUUAGAAAUUUCAUGUGUUGAUAAAUCAAAUUUAUAAUCAAUUUCAUUCUUCCAUCACAGAUAAUUUGAAUUCCUCUUUUUACGUUUUAGUAUCGUCAUUAAGACUCUAAAGUGUAUUUUUCCUUUCAAAGUAUAAUAUUACAUAAUUGUUAUUUCAAUGUCAUAUUUUUUUUAAUUUUUUGUCCAUAUAUUUAUUUUAUAAUUUAUAAUUAUUUGUCUUGAAUGAGAAGAUGCAUGAAAUGGAAUGUGAUUUUACGUGCCUUGACGUGAGCAGUAUGAAAAGAGAGAAAUAGAAAAUCUUUUGAAGGGUAAGCUUUCCUUUAUCAAGAAAUUAGCCUUUCGUGACUUUAAAUGGAUCCGAUUCAUAAGAGCAGGAUUUUUAAAGGCGGAUCAAGUAUAUUGUUCGAUAUAAAUGAUAAAAAUUUAUUCUUUUAUAUACACUUAUUAUUAUGUUCGUACACACGUGCAAAUCACGUACACUUGACUAAUUUUUUAAAUAAUGUAUAACAUUAGUUAUAUGUUCUAUUUGUAUUAUGUCAUACAUUAUUAAUAUUUAGAAAUUAAUGAUCUUAGUAUUAUAAAAAAAUUUAAUAAAUGCAUUAGCUUAAUUUAUGACAUAAUUAUUCCUAAAAUUCCUCUCAAAAUAUUUCCCAAUUCCUUUUUUCAUGUUACUCCUCCAUUUUGAAAAAUUGAUUAAAUAUACCGUUCAUCAUAUUUUGAGGUCAAAUUUAUCCUCGUUAUACUUUGGAGCGAAAUUUAUCUCUCUACUUUAAAAUAAUUGGCUAAAUAUACACUUCAUCAAUUUUUGGAGUCAAAUUUACCCUCUAUGUCAUACUUUGAGGUCAAAUUUACCCUCGUUAUUAAGAAACUUUUCACAUGUACCCUUUCUUUAAUAGAAAAGCCCAAAUCAAUGUUGAACGCCUCAUUUUUUAAAAAAUAAAAGACACUCUAAUAUAACUCGCCCGACACGACUCGAGCCACCAAAAAAGAUGCAAAUAAAUAUACCCCUAGUUCUAUUGAUCAAAUUUUUAUUAGUGCAUAAUUCAUGAAAAUUAAAUCUGCAUCAGUGCACACACAAAAAAAAUAUAAUCCCUCAGUUUAUGGAUCUGCAUCAGUGAAGACACAAACAAAUAUAACCAUAAUUCAGUUCAUAGAUCUGCAUUAGUGCAGAGCUCAUGAAAAUUGACAUUUAGAAGUCAAAUACAAUAGAUUAGGUCCAUUGAAUAUUUUUCUAGAGGAUUGAGUUAAGAUGGCUCCUUACGUGUCAAUCGUGACAUCUUUUCAUUCUUAUAUCUUUGUAUACGAUUUGGAUCUAAUAAAUUUUUCAUCAUGUCAUUUGCUCAAAAUACUUAUCCACUGAUUCUAGAAUCUACAUGUACAUAAAAUUGCAUACCAAAUUUGAAAUUUGAACAUAACUGAAACAGGAGCAGAGUUUAUAAUAAACAUUUUCUCUAGUUUCAUGAUUCUGCGUUAUCCCAUUUCAUUGUACUUUUUUUUCAUUUAUAAACAACAUAGUAGCUCUUCACGUCGAAAGAGAAGUAUAUUUGUUCAUUAUAAAAAAUUAACCAACAGAACUAAGGAAAGAGAAUAUUUAUUUGUGUAUUUUUUGGGUCGAAAUAGGCGGAUUAAAUAGAGUGUGUUUUAUUUUUAAAAAAUGAGUCAUUUAACGUUGAUUUGAACUUUUCUGUUAAAGAUAGACUAUAUGUAAAAAGUUUUUUAACAACUAGCAUAAAUUUGGCUCAAAUUAUGAGAGUGGGGGUAAGUUUGACCCCAAAGUAUGAUGAAGGAUAUAUUUAGCCAAUUUUUUAAAGUAGAGGGAUAAAUUUGAUCACAAAGUAUGACAACAAGGGUAAAUUUAACCUCAAAUUAUGACAAGCGUAUAUUGAACCAAUUUUUCAAAGUAGAUGGUAAAUUUGACCCUUUUCCCUUUUGUCAAUGGUAAAACACGAAAUUUCUUCCAUACCUUCUUCCAUCCACUUAAUAAUCAAGCAUUGUUGCUUUUCUCCACAAAAAUUGAAGGCUUUAAAUACAAUCGCAUAGUACCUAAUCCAAAAAAAAAAUAGAGCAUUAAUAUAAAGCAAUUUGUUGGUCCAUGAUUCAGGCUAUUGAUACCCGGUGCUUCUAUAAUCUUGAAAAGUUUUAAAGGUCAAAUAACGUUGUUGCAAAGAAACUGUACAAUGCUAAAGAGUGUGGAGGGUAUUUUUGUAAACAAGAUUUUUUUAAAAAAAAUCACGCAAUGCAUACUAUUUUUAAUACACCAAACUAAAUAUUGGAUAAUAAAUGAUCACAACAUAACUAAUAGAUAUGAAGCUAUGUAGAAAGAUCCCCUAUCGGGUUAAGAAUUCAUCUUUUUUCUGCCUCAAUUGAGACUUGUAAGAGGUCAGACUUAGCUCCUACAGAUAGUUGGAUUAACCGGGUUUGCUUUAGAUAAAUGCUCUUUAAACUAAUUCAAUAUCUUUUUCGCCUUAUCUUGCUAACAGCCUAUGAAUAUGCGCUUGUCAAAAAUCAUAUUCAAUCUUUGAUUCCUGCAAGUAUUACUAAUGCAAUCUAUUCAACAUUAUUCUUAUACACUCUACCAAAUGACCCCUAAUAGUCAAUCCGCUUUAUUCUCUUCUGUUUAUAUUACUUGACUUAUGUUGAUUAUUCACAUUUUUUUAAAAAAAUUAAUUAGAAGUAUAUUUAUUUAUUAAAUUAUGAUAUUUUAAAAUUUUAAAUUUGACUAUUACUAUUUUAAAUUUUGACAAGUAAAAAUAAAUAAAGGAAAUGUUAAGGGUAGCAUGAAAAAAAAUAAUAAAACUCUCUUAAUUUGUUAAAUAAAUAAUUAAAUAAAAUAUUUAUUUUUGGCAUAGGGGCCAAGUAAGGGAGUAAUUUGUUUGUCCUUCUUUCAUUUUUAGGCAGUUCCGGAAAAGAAUGUCUCUUUUUUAUUUGGACUAAGAUAUUUUGAUGCAUUCAACAAAUCUUUACUCUAAGAUCACAAGAUUUAAAUUUUUUCUUUAUUUUCUUAAUUUUUGUGUCAAGUCAAAACUAUUUAUCAAAAAAUUCAUUAUUUUAGUUAGCAAUAAAAUUUAUAAAAAAAAGAGUUAAAUACAAGCGGAAAGUUCUGUCAAUUUAAGACAAACCUCCAUCGUUGUGGUUCCAUACAAGAAUAUUAUUUUCUAAAAGAAAAUGAAUAAUAUAAACAAGAAAGAGUUUUCAAGGUCUCUCUUCUAGAUAACCCUAAAAGGAAGAAGAAUUAUAAUAAAAUAUCUAAAGUUUAUGUCUUCUAUUAUCUACAAAGACUUCUUUUAUAGCCUGCAAAAAUGGAAUUAUCACCUCAAUAUGAAACAAUGGUACAUUUGGUACUGAAAAAUCUAUCUUGUAGCACGUGUCUAUGCUUUGAUUCCUCGUCUAACACUGAUUGGAGCAAGUAUACGUACGACCUAAGAUUGAUUAUUAGGCUCCUGAUGAUCACUGUGAUCACCUCUAGUUAUAAGGUGAUCUCCAUCAAGUGAAGCCUCUUUCGAGUGCUAGGUCAUGUGUCAACCCUACAUAGGCAAGUAUUUGAGGCUUCUCGUAGCAUUCCUAAAUUGUCUCAUUCAUUUCCAUGCUCGUCAUGGAUAUCCUUCGUAUUGAUCUCACUAUGUGUCAGGGCGCGGUUUGCACUUUUCACUAAAUUUGACUUUGCCCCAUAUAAAUAGUCCUCUAUUUUGUUGAAACAUGCACAACGGAAGCAAGCAUAAAAUAUCACAUUAACUUACAUAAAUUUAGAUAACAUAAUUAUAAAUCGGGUUAUGAAUUACUAACCUCUAAAAGUUUUUACACAUCAUUCAAUGUGUUUUUUAGGUUUUUGAUCUUUGCUAUACUUUCAAAAAUCUCUGAGUGUGUAAUACUUGUGUGGGCAAGUACUGCUUCUCAGAAAGGUGUUUUUCUAUGGAAGAGAAGGAUCCUAUUUAUAGCCACAUCUUAGAUUACAAAAUCCUGUCCCAAAAUGAAUAGAAUUCUUCAUCUCCAAGAAUUGUACACGUUUUUGGGUAAAAACUCAAUCUCAACAUGUACAACUUUCUUUCUAGAAGAUCAAUUUAUCUCUCCAAAAUCUUGUAGGAUUCUGCUGCUUUUAGAAAUUGAUUUCUCCUAACACAGGUUUUAUUAGUGAGACUUUUAAUUAUGAUAUUAGUUCACAAAAUGGAUGAAUUAAUUUACCAUAAUUAAUUACAAAUUAUUAUACUAAAAAUACAUAAUUGCACUCCUAGGUAUAGUUUUAAAAUCAUUCAUUAAACAUUAUUUAACUCCCCAUAUUAAGAUAACAGACACCAACGAUUGAAUUAAAUUUUUCAUUAUUUAAUUCAUUGAUUAAUUUAAUCCUGUAUUAUACGCUUAACUUAUUUUAUGUGAUGGAUAAAAAAAUUACCUAUAGGUUUUCACACGAAAAAUUAUAAGCAACCAUAAAUGGAUAUCAUCAAUCUCUAGGCCGUGACAUGGAUUCCAUCAACUAAUUACUACUUUAUAAAUGUCAUUUGUCAUCAUCCAACCCAUCAAAAACCUAUUAACUCCUAAAAAAGUUUCACACUUUUAACAAAUCAAGAUAAUAAAUAAAUUACAUUGAUGAUAAUAAUGAUAUCAGAAUUAAGAGUAUAAGUAUAUUUGGUGACUCAGAAAUGUUGUUUCACAAAAUUCAGAAGAUAAACAAUCAUCUUUCCUUGGUUAUUUCAGUAGCACAAGAAGUUGGAACAUGACCAUUCCCAUAAUCAAGAAUAAAUUAUAUUUAAUCCUGUACUACAAUCAUCAAGAUGUUUGUCCAACCUCAUAUUUGAUUGUGAACAGAAUUUUACAAUUGAUAUGAAUCAUAAUUUAUUCUUCUAUCCAUGAUCCAUAAAACUCCAUGCACAAAAUCAUCUACUUUAUAAGUAAACGACAUACAUGGAAAUAAAAUAAUCUAUUUAAAAUUAAGACUAUAUUAACCCGAAUAAACAAAAUAUAAGUCUUACACAAAAAUAAAAUAUAAUAUUAUACUAAAUGCAUGGUUAAUAGUAUAUCCUAACAAUCUCCUACUUAGACUCAUAAUCAUGCACCAAUAACUUUAACGCCCAUUCUUUCUACAUGAUUAUCUAAAGAUUUUUGCGACAAGCUCAUUGUAAAUGGGUUUGUCAAAUUAUUUUUUGAUGCAAUCUUUAAAAUCUUCACAUCUCCUCUCUGAGUUAUGUCUUAAAUUAAGUGAUAUUUUCUCUUAAUGUGUUUGCUUAUUUUGUGACUUUGUGUUCCUUUUAGUUUGCAAUCGCACCACUAUUAUUACAUUAAAUUGUAAGUGGUUCUUGAACUAAAAGAAUUACUCCAAGCUCCUUUAGAAAGUUCCAAAACCAAAUAGUCUCCUUGGCCGUCUUAGAGACAGCCACACACUCGACUUUCAUGGAAUCAAUAAUGCAUGAUUGCUUGAUACUCUUUCAACAUAUGGUUUCACCUCCUAAAGUAAACACAUAUCUUAAGGUCAAUUUUCUAGAAUCUUUGUCUGACUGAAAAUUCUAAUUUGUAUACCCAAAGAGCAUCAAAUUGCCUGAGUGAAACACAAACAUAUAAUUUCUAGUCCUUUUUAGGUACUUGAUAAUAUACUUAACCGCAGUCCAAUGUUCUUUUCUUCAUAUUAGAUUGAAAUCUUCUAAUUAUGCUAACAACAAAAUAGGUGUCAGGUCUAGUGCAUACAUAGCAUACACGAGACUCCCUACAGCAGAAGCAUAAGGGACCAUCUUCAUCCUCUCUAUCUCGUUAGUCAUUUUGGGAGAUUGAUCUUUUGAUAGAGGAAUUUCAUGUCUAAAAUAAAAAAUCCUUUUGGAAUCUUGCAUGCUAACCUUGGCAAGAAUUGUAUCAAUAUAAAGUGUUUGUGAUAAGCCUAAUAUUCUUUGCUUACAAUUUUGCAUGAGCUUGCUCCCAAGAAUAUGAGUCGCUUCACCCGAGUCUUUCAUAUUAAAACUAAAGGACAACCACUCCUUGACUAAAUUCAACAUUCUCACAUUAUUUCCUAUAAGCAAGAUAUUAUCUAUGUACAAAAUAAACACACUACUUUAUCUCCAUCUCAUUUUUAUAGAUGCAUGACUCGUUAUCAUAUUGAUUAAAAUUAAAAGUCUUAAUCGAAUUGUAAAAACAUGUAUUUCAUUCCCUAUAUGCUUGUUUCAAUCAAUGAAUGAUUUUUUUCAGCUUUCAAAAUAUGUGUUCAUUGUCGCUUUUCACGAUAUCCUCUGAUUAUGCCUUAUAUAUGCACUUAUGAAGACUUUCGUUAAGUAAGUUGUCUUAAAAUUUAUUUGUCAAAUAUCAUAAUCAUAAUGAUAAGCAGUGGAUAAGAGAAUUCUAAUGGAUUUAAUCAUGAUUACCGGUAAAAAGGUUUCCUCAUAAUCAGUUUCUUCUUUUUUAGUAUACCCUUUUGCAACAAGCUUAACCUUAAAAGUUUGCAAUUUUUCAUACUCCUCUUUUUUAGAUCCAUCUACACCCGAUGAAUUUGACUUUUGUAGGUGAUUAUACAAAAUCCCAGACUUAAUUGGAGUACAUUGACUCCAUUUUAAAUUUCAUCAUGACAAUACACUUUUUAGCAUCUAUAUCUUAUAGUGCUUUGGCGUAGUUAAGAAGUUUCGUAUUAGGUCUUCAGGAUUUUAUUAUAAUAUUGUACCAAUAGCGCAAAUUGAAUAGAUCUUCUAAUAAAUCUUCCACUAAGGUGGCUCACUAUAUUAUCAACCACAUUCGUCUGAUCUUGUGGUUGGACCAUAAUAUCAUUUUCAAAAAUUAAAUUUUAAUCAUCAUGAAAUUUUUUCUCAAGUACAGGUUGCUUAAUAAGUGCGGGCUAGUCAACAUUACUCCCAUUGUUUUGAGGCAGUGAGAUGUCAUACCUAUGCUCUUGCACAUCCCGCUGUCUAUUAAUACCGCUCUCACUACGAUAAUAAAGUGAUGUGUUGAUACUGUCUUGUGGAAUAGAUUCUUGAGAUACAUCAUUAUUUAUUCCAUUGCUUAAUUCCUUUAAAACGAGUUUACUUUAUGGUGCAUGGUUCAUUACAUAGUCAUCCUUCAGAAACUUGACAUUUGUUGUGACAAGUACUUUAUUUUAUUUAGGACAAUAAGACAAACCUCCUUUCAUUCAUUUUGGAUAUCUAAUAAAAACAUAUACUUCUUCCCUUGAUUCCAACUUAUCAGUUUUUUCAUUUUAGCACAUGUGCCGGAUAACCCCAUAUUCGAAUAUAUUUCAGACUAGGAUUUCAUCUGACCUAUAAAUCUGUCAAAAUUAAAGGUACUGAUUUGAAAGAAAUCAAGUUCAAAAGGUAGUUUUCUAUUUCUAAUGCAUAUCCCUUACAUAAAAAGGGCAAAUCAGUAUAACUCAACAUUAAUCUUAUCAUUUCUAAAAGAGUUCUAUUUCUUCUUUCUACCAUAUCAUUUUACUGUGGUAUUUCAGAAGCAGAAAAUUAAGACAUAAUUUCAUAAUCUGAUAGGUACUUAAGGAAAUCAACAGAAAUAUAUUCACCAUCAUGAUCAGAACGCAAUGAUUUAAUAUAUUUAUUAUGUCAAUUUUUUAUUUUUGCCUUAAAUUCUUUGAAUUUCUCAAAGCAUUCAAACUUACGAUGCAAUAGAUAUAGUCAUUGUGAAUGUCACAAAAUACUCAAAGUCACCUCUUAAUUAUAAAUUAAGUGGACCACAUAAAUGGAGUAUGGCUCAAUUUCCGUUGAAAGAAAAAAGUCACUUAAUCAUUUUUCUCUCUAAAUUGGAUUCACCAAUUGGUAGUACCUCCACUUUCAAUGAACUCAAAGGUCCAUUGGAAAUCAAUCUUAAAAUCCUAUUAAGAUUUAUAUGACCUAGACUUAAGAGUCAUAUAUAAAUUUGACUCAAUUCAGAAAUACAUUUUCUUUUAUUGGACAGAUUAAUGUUAUUUAGUUUCUUUUCAUGCAGCAAAUUGGGAGGUGAUUCAAGCAUAAAAAGAUCAUGCCCUCUUUCAACAGUAUAGAUAAAAUAUUUAUUAAAUUUGCUAAUAGAUAAAUUAUUACUAAAAUAAAUAUUAUAAUUAACAUCCAUCAACUUUGAAACUGAAAGCAAUUUCCUUGAAUAAAAGAUCCAUAGAGAGUAUUUUUUAAAUCUAAAAUUCUAGAACUACUGAAAGAAAUACUAAUAUCUCCUAAAGUUAAAGCUGGUGUUGGUUCUCUAUUGACUUGAAAAAUGCAAACUUCAUUCUCACUUAGACGCUGUAUUUCCAAAACCCCUAUAAAGAAGUGCAAAAAUGAUUAGUGGCUCCUGAAUAUACAACCCAUAACAUCAUAGAAACGACUGUUAAACAAGUUUAAUGAUAUUUAAAUAAGAAGAAUUGUCUUGGUUGUUCUACAUGGCUAGGCAGCUAGGACAUUAUUUCUUAUGAUGUCCAGGCUGCUUGCAAUGAUAGCAUUUACCUUUAGGCUUAACUACACCACCAUUCAUAAUUUUAGGUGCCACAACUUUGCGAGGUUUCUUCUUUCUUUAUCCAUCUUUUGUCUUAGAAGAAGAAUAUUUUUAACAUUUAAUGCUUUAACAUUUAAUGCCUUAGCAGGAGAUUUCUGUUUGAUAAUAGACUCGGUUGCUUACAGCUUAUUCAACAAUCUCGCAAGAGAUAGAUUCAUCUUGUUCAUGUUUCAAGCAAAAUUAUUGAAAAUUAUCAGUCAAAGUCUGCAGGACCAUCUUAAUUUGAGAUUCUUCAUCAAUCUUAGCUUUAAGGAUUUCUAGCACAUUAAGAACACUAAUUAUCUUAAGAACAUGACCCCUCACGAAUGAACCUUUAGUUAUUUUUUUGUUCAAAAAGACUUUCAUGGUUAUUUCUUUGCAACACGAUUAUGCUCACCGAAUAUCUCUUUGAGACUUUCGAGCAUGUAUUAAUCAGACUUUAUAAACUAAUGUUGAUGCUGCAAAACAUUUGAGAUUGAAGCAAGAAUGUAACAUCGCAUCAUCUCAUCAACCAUAACCUAAUUUUUGUAGGCUUUGAUAACAUAACCCAAAACCAAGCCUUGUCAUAUGGGCAUCUCAAGCCCAACAAGGAUUCGAUAUCGCCUUAUUAACCCAAUCUAACUAUAAUACCCCGUAUUUUCCUUGCUCAGUUUAGCUCUCAGUAAGCAAGAAUUCCUAUAUAUACUUUCAAAAGUACUCAGAAUUUUCCAUCUUAAGAUCCAUCAUUAUGUAGGAAAUUCAGUCAGCUUUCCAAUGAUAUAAAUUUUGCCCAAAUCCGAUAUUCGGGUGAGAAAUUAUGGUACUUUUAGUGAAACCGUAUGUCAAAUUAAGAAGCACCGCAUCGCGGUGAGAGUCAAAAUGAUAUUCGCAGUUUCCAGUGAGACACCAUGAUUUCAGUACAUCGCGGUAAAGUUCCGAUUCCCAAUUGGCUUUUUCCAGUGUAUCAAUACGAUAAUGGCGCAUCGCGCCUGAGUGCCAUUUCAAAAUUUUCACAUUCCAGUGAGACUCCACGAUACCUCCGUGUAGCGCCAAAGUGCAUUUUUACACUCGUCCUUGAACUACACUAGCCGAUAAAAUCUAGUGGCUCAUCGUGAUGCCACCACAUCACGGUGAAGGUCGAAAUUGAGAAUCCAGUGACGUGAAUUUUAAUUUUUUUCAGGGAUAAUUUAGUCUUUUUUCAUGGCCCUAAUCUAUCUAAACACGUGAUUUAACCCCUAAUAACCUAAUUAAGUCAUUAUUCACUCAAUUUUUCCCAAAUCAUGAUCAUUCUCUUUCAAAAUUGUAAAACCCUAGCCUUCAAAAAGCAAAGUCAAAUCUCAAGAACACUACCAAGAAUCUUCAAGAAGUUAAUUUAUCAGGUAUGUUAGAUGUUCAUCCAUGGGUCUUUACCACCCAUUGAGCCCAAGAAUCCUUUUUCAAAAUACAAGAUUGAGAUUCCAUAAAUUACAUGUUUAAGUUAGAUUAUGUUCAUGUGUGUAUUGUUAUAUGGUCUUCAAUCUACGAUUUAUUAUAAGUUUCAUGAAAUUAAGUUAGCACGUGUGAUGAAUUAUGUGAUUCUUAUGUUAAAUCCUUGAAAUUACAAGUUGAAUACUGUAGUCAUGAUAUAUAUAUGUGUGUGUGUGUGUGUGUGUGUUUAUUAAGUGAAAUAAUUAUGUUCCCCAAGUGUUUGUCAGAAUGCCUAUGUGAAUUGAAUAGUGUAAUCAUGACAUGUUAUUAUGUGUUCCAAUUCAUGUACAAGUUCAUGCCUCUCAAGUGUUUGACAAAAUGUGUAAAUGAAUGCAUUGUUAACAAGCAAUUAUUGUUAUGCUUUUAAGAUCAUGUCAUGCUUUACUAUCAAUGCUAUCGAUUCCUGAGGGUAUUUAAUACCCGAAAUCUAGCUGUUUACCUAGAAUUACAGUAGCUACAGAAUAGUUCAGUAAUGUCACAAACAAUAGUACUCAGUCAGUUAUAAAACUUAGUGAAACUCAGUCCAGUUCAGUUCAGUCUAAUAAUCAGUGUCAUUCAGUUGGGAGUAGGAUUCAACACCGAGUAAACCCAAGAAUGGGGGCUCACUUGUCAGUAGAAGGUGUGAUCCUUAGUAGCAGCCCUUGUGUUCCAGAACUGCGUAGCCAGUAUAGGUUGAGAUAUUAACCCGUCAGUCGAGGGUUGAUAAUAUGUUUACCUGCCAGUUGAGGGUAAUACCGCUCUCAUCAGGGAACCUGCCAGUAUAGGGUGACCCUUAGUCCUUCGAGAUGACAUUUUAGUAGAUCCACACAACCAGUGUCUGUACUCGUGGCACAGUACUGGAACCCUUCCAAAUGGGGUUACAGUUUAAACCCCAAUCAGUUUAGAGAUGGGCAUGUCAGUUAGAUGAUUACCUCCUAGUUUUAGUCUCAGCAUAGAACUCAGUUCAGUUCUACAGAAUUAGGACUAUCAGAAAUAGUCACCUAGUUACCAAUAAUUUAAUUAUUAGUAAUAUCAGAUAUCAAUUACUCAGUUAUUAGAACUCAGUACUCAGUUUUAGUAUAAAUCUCAAACACAGUAUAUAUAUAUAUGUAUAUGCACAGUAUUGUAUAAUCAGUGUUUACAACAGCUUCAGUUAUCCAUGUACUCUCAUUCAGUUAUAUUCAUAUCACUCAGUCAGUUACUAUUUAUGCAUAUGAACCCAUGCAUAUUAGCCUUACCUCAUCUAGCAUACCAGUACAUUCCACGUACUGAUCGUAUACUCUUUUCUUAUGUUAUGAUGUCUCAUAUUAUAGGUUUGGAUGCUCAGAUUCUUGACCGCGCUUAGCCAGAUUCAAUCAGCAACAAUAGAUUUAGUAGUGAGUCCUCAUCUAUCUAGGAUAUUCUUUUAUUUCAGUAUUACAGUAGAUUGAAUCUUUUAUUUAUCGGAGUUAUUUAGGGCUUGUCCUAUCAACUCCAUAUUCAGACAGUUCAGUUAAAGGCUUUUCAGACUAGACUAGUUCAGACAUUAUUCAGUUUUCAGAUAUUAUUAUCAGUUGCUAUAUUUAUCAGUAUUCAGAUUAUAAACCUUAUGUCACCUCAUCCUAACUUCCACAUUCUUUCAAUAUUAAUAUUCAGUGCUCAUAGCAGGUGCCAAUCAUGGGUUAACUUGUAGUCCUUCGGGGUUGUAAGCACUAUGUGGCAUCGGGGUGCAAAAUCAAGGUGUUACAAACUUGGUAUCAGAGCCUAAGGUUAAAUAGAGUCCUAGGGAGUCUGAAAACCAUAUCAAGUAGAGUCUUAUGCAUGGGUGUAAAGUGCACCACACGUACGGAUGAGAGGCUAUGAGGCAUUUUAGGAAAAGUUUCCCUUCUUUCAGUAUUCAUGUCGUGCUAGUGAGCAUGUGCUCAAGUUAAACUCUCUGUCUAAUUCAUUUCUUCCUUUUGUUUAUAGAACGUAACUCCCAAAAUGACCAACGGAAGAAGAACUGGAAACCAACCAACACCUUCGCCCAUUCAGGCAGAUCCUCAGGACGUGCAUGUCUUCUAUGCAAUUCAGAGCUGCGUUCACCACUCUAGCCCUUUUUAUAGCAGAUUAGAAUGAAUAGAAAACUGUUGUUUAGGCUAAACAAGUGGCCAAUACUACUACAGGCAGGAUUUGGCACUUCACCCGAAUGAAUCCUCCCCUAUUUUUAGGAUCUACGUCUAAAGAGGAUCCAUAAAAGUUCCUCGAUCAAGUUCAAAAAGUCACAGAUAUUAUGGGAGUGACUUUCAGUGAGAGUGUUAAGUUAGCUUCCUAUCAGUUACAUGAUGUAGCUCAUACAUGGUUUAAGCAGUGGAAGGCAGAUAGGGGCACAGAUGCGGAGCCCAUAGAAUGGGAAGAGCUUACUACUGCUUUUCUAGAUAGAUUUUUUCCCUUAGAGUUGAGAGAAGCCAAGGUAUUAGAGUUCAUCAAUCUCAGGCAAGGAAACAUGAGUGUUAAAGAGUAUUCCCUUAAGUUUACUUAGUUAGCCAAGUAUGCUCCCCAUGUAUUUGUAGACAAUAGGUCCAGGAUAAGCAAGUUCGUAUCUGGGGUGUUAGAGAGUAUAGUCAACGAGUACAGAACUGCAAUAUUAAUUAAGGAGAUGGACAUAUUUAGGCUAAUGGUCUAUGCUCAGCAGAUAGAAAAGGCUAAUAAUAAGGAGAGAGAGAAGGAAAACAAGAAAACUAGAAUAGAUAGCUUUAAUUUUACUCAGCCUAAGUCAGAAGGUGGUAACCAUUCUCAGUUUAAUCUAAAAUCUUCAAUUCUAAUUCCAUCCUCAGCUAGUGCUCCAGUGCUUAAGUUCAAAAAUGGUAACAAAGAUAGGGCGCCGAGCUCUAAAUCUUAGGGUAGUGUCAGCAGCGCUCGAACAAAUCCUUUUGCUAGAAUAUGGCAAAAACCAUCAGAGUGUCUGUAGAAUUGGUAGUGAUAUAUGUUUCAGGUGUGGCAAGCCAAGCCAUAGAAUUAGAGAUUACCCCCAGUCAGGUUUAUAGGGUUAGUAUAAUCAUCCCCCAACACAGUCCGAUGCUUGAAUCAGCAGGGUGCCACUUCUCGUGCCACCAGUGGGCAACGCCCAAACAGGCUUUAUGCACUUCAUUCCUAAAAAGAUUAGGGAAGUUCUCCUGAUGUGGUCACUGGUACAUUACAGAUGUUUCAUUUACAUGUUUAUGCCUUAUUAGAUCCAGGAGCUUCUCUGUUUUUUGUAACUCUUUACAUAGCAGUCAACUUUAAAGUCAUACCAGAAAUCUUAACAAAACCUUUCCCAGUCUCUACCCCAGUGAGUCAGUCUAUCAUAUCCCGGUGAGUAUAUAGGAACUGUCCAGUUAUGAUAACUCAGACAGUCACUUCAGCAGACUAAGUAGAGUUAGAGAUGAGGGAGUAUAUAGGAACUUUAAAGUCAUGCUAUACCUUAGUUGACUGUAGAAGUAGAGUUGUUCAUUUUAGUUUCCAAAUAAAACAAUCCUUGAAUGGAGUAGUAGUACCACAACACUUAAGGGUCAGUUGAUUUCAUACCUUAGAGCGAGAAAAAUAAUAUCCAUGGGGUGUGUCUAUCAUUUUGUGUGAGUCAAAGACUCUAGUUCAGAGACUUCUAGUCAUGAGUCAGUUCCAGUAGUAAAUAAAUUCUCAGAUGUGUUUCCCAAGGAUCUUCUCAGAGUUCCUUUCGAAUUGGAAAUCGAUUUCGGAAUAGACCUUCUGCCAGAAACUUGGACUAUAUCUAUUCCACCAUACAUAAUGGCUCUAGCUGAACUUAGAAAGUUAAAAGAAUAGUUAAAGGACGUUUUAGACAAGGGGUUCAUCAGACCCAACAUUUCCCUGUAGGGCGUACCAGUCUUAUUCGUGUAUAAGAAAGAUGAUUCACUCAGAAAGUGUAUAGACUACCGUCAUUUGAAAAAAAUUACAGUCAAGAACAAAUACCCACUUCCUAAAAUUGAUGACUUAUUUGACCAACUUUAGGGAACCAGUUACUUCUCUAAGAUAAACCUCAGAUUAGGCUAUCAUCAGCUCAGAGUCAGAGAAUGUGACAUUUCAAAAAUAGCUUUCCAAACCUGGUAUAGUCACUUCGAGUUUCUAGUCAUGUCAUUUGGUCUUACAAAUGCCCCAACAACCUUAAUGGACUUAAUGAAUCACAUGUUCAAGCAGUACUUGGACACAUUCAUUAUAGUCUUCAUUGAUGAUACUUUUGUCUAUUCUCGUAGUGAGAAUGAUCACGCAAAUCACCUUAGAAUCAUACUUCAGACUCUCAGAGCCCAUCAGUUGUUCGCGAAAUUUAGUAAGUGCAAAUUUUGGCUAAGUUCAGUAGCAUUCCUUGGUCAUAUUAUUUUUGGUGAUGGCAUUAGAGUUGAUUCUCAAAAGACUAAGGCAGUGAGAAACUAUCGUAAACCCAUUUCUUCAUCUGAUAUCACAAAUUUCUUAGGUUUAGCUGUCUAUUAUCGAUGGUUUAUUGAAGGGUUUUCAUCUAUUGCAUACCCCAUGUCUAGAUUGACUCAGAAAAAAGUCAAGUUUCAGUGGUUAAAUUCUUGCGAGAAGAGUUUUCAGGAGUUGAAGACUCGACUCACUACAACCCCAGUUUUUACGUUACCAGAUGGUUCAGGUGGAUUUUGUAACCACCCAAGACUACCCUCUAGUCGUCACAUGGCGUUUACAACCCCGAAGGACCACAAGCUAACCCAUGACUGAUAUCUGUUGUGAGCACUGAACAAUAAUGCUGAAUAAAUACAGAAAAAUAGGCUAAAAUGCCAUAAGGUUCAAAAUAUGAAAUAAUGAUAAAUAACAAUAUCUAAUAAAACACCUGUAUCUAAAAUACUAUCUGAACUAGUCUAGUCUGAAAGCCUCUAACUGAACUGUCUGAAUAUGGAGUUGAUGGGAUAAGCCCCCAACUAACUCCAACUACUACAAUAUUAAAACUACUGAAAUGCUAAAAUAAAGGUAUAUCCUCGAUGGAUGAGGACUCACUACUAAAUCUAUGACUACUAACUGCAUUUGUCUAUACGCGAUCGAGAAACCUGAGCAUUCAAACCUAUGAUAUGCGACAUCAUAGCGUAAAAAAAGAGUAUGCAUCAGUAUGUAGAAUGUACUGGUAUGCUAGAUGAGGUAAGGCUAAAUAUAAGGGCUCAUAUCCAUAAACAGUAACUGACUGAAUGAUAUUAAGUAAAUGUAUAUAAGAGUACGUGAAUAACUGAUACUUCAAAAAUCACUGAGUACGCAAUAUUGUGGACAUACAUAGAUGUAUACUGUAUCUGAAUAUUUCUGAAGCUAAGUACUAAGUCCUGAUGACUGAGUAACUGAUAUCUAAAGUUACUGAUAACUAAAUUACUGAUACUGAUUGGCUGUGUCUGACAAUCUUGAUUCUGUAAAACUGAACUGAGUUUUAAACUGAAGACUAAAACUAAAACUGUGGGAGGUAACCAUCCAAACGACAUGCCCCUCUCUGAACUGAUUAGGGUCCAACCUAUAACCCCAACUAGAAGGGUGAUAAUACCGUGUCACGGGUACUAACACUAGAAAACUAGGAUGCCAAGCCUAACUAAUGGGUGACACCUGGGUGGAGCUAAGCCUAAUCUGACAGGUGACCCUUGGGUGGUAGUCAAGCCUAGUUUGAUGGAUGAAUCCUUAUCCUGCACUAACUAUGCAGUUCUGGAGUACAGAUACUGCUGCUAAUGACUCUACCUAUCUAUGGAGAAGCCGUCAUCCCUGUACUCACUCGGUGCUAAAUCCUACUUCCAACUGAAUAGACACUAAACUGUUAUACUGGACUGAACUGGACUGAAUUCACUGAGUUUCCUAAGUGCUAUAACUGACUGAGUUCUAUAUCUAACUGAGUGUACUAUUGAUCGUGAAAAAACUAACACUAUUCUGUAACUGACACUGACUCUAAAUAAAUAACUAAAUUAUCAGGUAUUAAAUACCCCCAGGACUCGAUAGCAUGAAAAGUAAAGCAUCACAUAAUCUUACAAAGCAUAACAAUGUAUACAUGUUCAUACAUCAUCUAUAGAGACAUUUUAUCAAACACUUGUAGGGCAUAAGCUUGUUUAUAUACUAACAUGUCAUGAUUUCAUCACUUUAUUCAUAUAGACAUUCUAUCAAACACUUGGGGAGCACAACUUCAUGCACAUAAUCAUGGAUAACAUAUAAAUAUGGAAACUACAAUGCCCAACUUAUAAUUUCAUGGGUUUAGCAUGAAAUUCAUAUAAUCCCCAUAAAAUACUAAUCUAAUUUCAUGAGUCAUAUAAUAAUCAUGAAUUAAAAUCCAAUUAACAUCGUAGACACAUUAAUCACUCUAUAAUUUCAAGGGUUUAUCAAGAUAAUCACAUAUUCAUUACACAUGCUAUUCAAUUUCAUGAAACUUGCACUUAAAUCAUGGAUUGAAACCCAACUACUAUCAUGAACAUGAAUUCAAUCUAAUUCAAACAUGGAAAUCAUAAAUCUGGGAUCUUGUAUAUUUAGAAAGGGAUUCUUGGACUCUAUGGGUAAAAGGAACCCAUAGAUGAACGUCUAACAUACCUGAGAAGAAAAGUUCUUGAAGGUUUUUGGAGAGAUUCUUGAGGAUUGACCUUGAUUCUUGAACUAAAGUUUUUGCCUCUUGAGAGAGAAUGAUUUAUUUAGGGGAAAAACUGAAUGAAUAAUGGUGUAACUAGGUUUACUAGGGUUGAAUUUUGUGUUAAAGGCUGACUAGGGCCAUGGAAAAAGACUCAAAUACCCCUAGAAUGAUUUAAAAACUGGAAAUUAACUGAAAAAUCCCGAUCUGGGACCGUAGCGCGAUGCUGUGCUAUCGUGUCAUGUCACUGGAAUAAGGAAAACUGGGAAUCGGACCAUCAGUGUGAUACGGUGGAAUUACAUUACCCCUUGGAUGCGACCUAGAAGUUUACCGCGACGUGGUGGGAUCGCGUUGGUGUACUGGAAACAGACAAAUAUGAAAAUAAGUUAUGGCGCGAUGCACGGGUAUCGCGGUACCUCACUUGAAACUGACAAUUGAUAUUUUGACAUGCUCCGUGAUGCGCUAUUGGCCUGAAUGACGACGUUGUUUAAUGACUAAAACUUAAAAUUUCCAUAACUUCUCACCUGAUUAUCGGAUUUAGGCGAAUUUUUUAUCGUUGGAAAGCUAAUUAAAUUUCCUAUGCAAUGGAAGGCUUUACACGGAAAAAUAAUGAGUGUUUUGAAAAUUUUAUAUACAAAUACUCAUGCACUGGGACUUAGAUUAUGCUAGGAAAAAACGGGGUGUUACAAUAUCUCCCCCUUGGGAUCAUUCGUCCUCAAAUGAAACUGGUUAAGCUGAGACACUGUUAGAAUGAGUAUACAUAUUAAACAUGCAUAUCUGAUGUAUGACUACAUGGCUGAGCUACUGACAAACUGAUAUUUUGCACUAAACAUGGAUGAACGGGAACAUGAGAACAUGACUGAGUUUGAAACAUGAUACAUGGACUAACUAUCAUAAACGGGACUAGGCCCUUGAAUACAUGCCAUGACUUGGGAAUAAUCAUUUGGCUAAGAUUAGAAUGAGAGGGUUAACUUAUGACUACCCAUUUUUCCAACCUGGAUUCGUUACGUAAAGAUAAACUAAAAGGUUUAAGACCUGAAAGCUCGGGGGUUAUAGUGCAUCUCCCCUUUGGGACAUUAUGUCCCUCGAAAAAUGCUGACUUGGCUGGGAUACUGAGGAAAGGAUAAGAUGGUGCACAGGGCACCUAUGAACUAAAUCAUGACUGAAUAUCUGAGAUCUGAAACUGAGACGUGAUACAUAAACUGGGUUGAAUUCGUAACUACUAGGAUUGUUCCAUUUUGGGAUAGGACAACUAUAUGGAAAGAUGGGAAGCCAUCCAAAUUUGUCCGCCUGACUGCUAAACUAAAUUGCUGGCUUUACGGACCAAAUCAUACUGAAAACGAAUACUUAACUGGAGCAUCUCUUGAAGCUCUUUCUAUAACGUUCUACUGACUUUAGGGAGCAAAGAAAUCUUGGCAUGGCUUGAAUGAGACAUAAGAAAUCACAACGUGGCUAAAAUUCUGUAAUAUGAGGUGAGGCCUACGAAACAUCACCUAAAAUAAAGUGACUAAUCCUUAUAUACUGCCGCUACAAAUGUUUAAGCUUAAAUAUAUUUCUUGAAUACUCUCUCAACUAUACCCUCCACCUUAACAUAAUUCUUUGCCUGAGACUACUAAAAAUAUUCACAUGGGCACUGAGCACGAAUGCAUAAACAUACUAACCUACUGGAUUAACUGGAUAACUGAUAGUUGAAUACUGGUCAUGUAAGAUUGAACUGUACUUAACCUGAAUAACUGGAUUGAAACUUUAAAGUACUAUGCCUAUGAGGUAAGGACAGACUGAGGAGCGUGAGGUAACUGAGCAUGAAUUUGUGAGAACGGUAUUCUCAAGGAAUGAAAGACUAAGCGCAUAACAUGAUUUUGAAAUACUGAGACACUGACAACGGAAUAACUGGUAACUGUACGUUUUGGUCAAGCAAACCUGAAACUGGACUGAGUUUUGUACUGAAUGCUGAACUGAGACUGUGAUUGUGUUCUGAUAGCUACAUGAUGGGGACUGGCACAAAUUGAGGAUCUAAAUGUACACUCAUAUUCUGUAUUUUCUCAACUUCUUAUAUCAGGAAGAAUUCUAAUUUUUCCUCCAAUAACUAAAUACAACCUUUUGCUAGCUAUUCACCCGCAUACUAACAUGACAUUUAAGCCUAUCUUCAUUACUGUAGCCUCAUGUAAAACUAGCAUGCAAUAAUUUUUUCUUAACAUGAAGCAUUUAUCCUCUUCCUUCUAAGUAACUGCUCAUCACUAUAUUAUUUUACAAGGAGAGUUCACUAAAAGUUAAAAUAUGGGGACCUGAAGCAUGAAUAGACACUAUACUAAACUUAACACUUAACUGAGGCCUGAGGAAUAAAACAUCAACAUCCUAGACUUUAUCAAGAGAUGUAAACUGAGGAUAUACAUAAUGAAGUUUUAAUUUAGCUUAUUAUUAAUAGGAUAGUAUAAGUCAUGGAAACUGAGCACAUUGUAAGACAUGAGUACAUGAGUCUUGAGCUGCAUGACCUGAGUUUAGAGUUUUUGUAUUCAUGGAUCAUGAUUCAUAAUACUGAGGAAAAUGGAGCUCCUUAUACUAGAAAUUGUAAAUAUACAUGAUUUUUGAUAAUGUACACGAAUAGAAACUAUGAUCACAGAGCUGACGUGUAAGGCAUGAGUAGAUAUUGAGAUUGCUGAAGUGCAAAACUUUGCAUUGAGGUAAGACGACUUGGACAUCAACCUCUCCCACUGUUUCUCUACACAUAUUGAUAUUACUAUUAAAAUCUGAAAGUCUGACUUGGUUACUUAUUCUGCCAUCUCCCCCUUAGCUUAAAGCCAUUAUUCUAAGUCUGUGAACCCCUAAAUAAACUCUAAAUCGAGUUGAGACCACUUUACCCUAGAGUAUGAGAUAUGGCAAUGCUCAUAAACACUAAACUCCUUUUGAAGGACUACUCCUGAUAAUGUAAGGUCCACCUUCUGAUACAUGAUUCUUAGCUUUUAAUUACCCCAACAAUCAUCAUAUAGCAACCUCAACACUAACUAACUUAGAGUUCGCAACUUUUUUUUCUACUUGUUCAAUCUAGAGAUUCAAACUUAAAUCAACUAAAACUGAGGUACUACCCCUUCAUUCAAGGACUGGUUCAUCAAGAAACUGGAAUAGAACUACUCUAUUAAUAAAAUUAACUAAAGGGAUUUUCUGAAAUACUAUAACAGAGUAAUUCCUGUAUAGUCGUCUUUCUAGAAUAGAUUUUCCACUGAGGUAAGCACUAAGAAAGGUUCUGUUAAGAUUUUUAGUCUGACUUUAAAGUUUUCUUCUAUGAAAAGAGUUACAUAAAACAGAGAAGCUCCUGGAUCUAAUAGGGCAUGAAUGUGUAAAUAGAAUAUCUGUAACAUACCAGUGACCGUAUCAGGAAAAAUUUUCUGAUCUUGGUUGGACUGAAGUUCAUAAAGUCUAUUUGGGCAUUUCCUACUAGUGGCACCGGAAGUAGCACCCUGCUGAUUCAGGAGACCAAACUGAGCUGAAGGACGGUUGUACUGACCCUGUGAACCUGACUGAGGAUAAUCUCUGAUUCUAUGGCCUAACUUUCCACACCCAAAACAUACGCCACUGCCAACCUUACACACACCCUGAAGACUUCUACCAUAUUUUUAGCAAAGUGGGUGGGUGUGACCUCUUUUCAUGCUACCCUGAGACUUAGAGUCUGACUUGCUAUCUCGAUUGACAUUUCUAAACUUUGGCACUGGAGCAUUAGCUACAAAAGGAUUUGGGGCUGAGAAUUUCUAACGGAACUAGAACUGGUUACCACUCUCUGGCCUUGGCCAAAAACCACUUGUUCUGACUUUCUUAUUUUUAUUAUUUCUAUCUUUCUUUCUAUGCUUCUCCCCCUUGCUCUGUGGAGUAUGAACCCCAAGACUAGAUAGUACAACGGCCUGUAGGUUGUUCUGAGCAACUACUGAAUUAGCUAACAUAAUAAAAACAACUCUGAAUUCUGCAUGAGAGACAUGCUUGUCUAGGGUAUCUCCCUGAAUGGGCUGAGGUUCUGACUAAUUUUUAUUACUUCUUUCAUUAGCUUCUCUAGAAGGCAUGUUAUGGAUGCAUAAGGAAGAUAUAAAUUAGAAUGAGAGUUUAAAUUAAGCUCAUGGUCACUCUCAUGACAUGAAUACUGAAAGAAGGGAAACUUUUCCUUAAAUAUCUUAUAGCCUCCUAUCCAUAGGUAUGGUGCUAUAUACACCCAUAUACAAGACUCUACGUGAUGAGGCUUCUAGACUUCUUAGGACUCUGUUGAACCUUAGGCUUUGAUGCCAAGUUUGAAAUGAUCCGAGACUACCCUCUAGUUGUCACAGGGUACUUACGACCCCGAAGGACCACAAGCUAACCUGUGACUGAUAUCUGCUAUAAGCAUUGAACAAUAAAGCUGAAUAAAUGCAAAAAAAUAGGCUGAAAUGCCAUAAAUUUCAAUAGCUGAAAUAAUGAUGAAUAGCAACAUCUGAUAAAACACCUUUAUCUAAAAUACUAUUUGAACUAGUCUAGUUUGAAAGCCUCUAACUGAACUGUCUGAAUUUGGAGUUAAUGGGACAAACCCCUAACUAAAUCCAAGUACUACAAUACUGAAACUACUGAAAUGCUAAAAUUAUGGCAUAUCCUUGAUAUAUGAGGACUCACAACUAAAUCUACGACUACUAACUAGAUCUUUCUAUGCAUGAUCAGGAAACCUGAGCAUCCAAACCUAUGAUAUGAGCCAUUAUAGUGCAAAGAAAGAGUAUGCGUCAGUACGUGGAAUGUACUGGUAUGCUAGAUGAGGUAAGGCUGAAUGCAAAGGAUCAUAUGCAUGAAAAAUAGCUGAUUGAAUAAUAUUGAGUAAAUAUAUAUAUAAGAGUGUAUGAAUAACUAAUACUUCUGAAAUCAUUGAGUACGCAAUACUGUGGACAUACAUAGAUGUAUACUGUAGCUUAACUUUUCUGAAGCUAAGUACUGAGUCCUGAUGACUGAGUAACUAAUAUCUGAAGUUACUGGUAACUAAAUUACUAAUAAUGAUUGACUUUGACUUACAGUAUUGGUUCUGUAAAAUUGAACUAAGUUCUAAACUGAAGAUAGAAACUAAAACUGUGGAAGGUAAUCAUCUAACCGACAUGCCUCUCUCUCAACUAAUUGGGAUCCAACCUGUAAUCCUAACUGGAAGGGUGCUAAUACCUUGCCAUGGGUAAUAACACUAGAAAAACAGGAUGCCAAGCCUAACUGAUGGGUGACACCUGGGCGGAGCCAAGCCUAAUCUUAUGGGUGACCCCUGGGAGGUAAUCAAGCCUAUUCUGACCGGUGACUCCUCAUCCUGCGCUGGCUACGCAAUUAUUGAGUAUAAGGACUGCUGCUAACGACCCUGCCUAUCUGACGAAGAAGUCGUUAUCCCUGCACUCUCUCAGUGCUAAAUCCUACUCCUAACUAAAUAGACACUGAACUAUUAUACUGGACUGAACUAGACUGAAUUCACUAAGUUUCUUGAGUGCUAUAACUGACUGAGUUUUGUAUCCAAUUGAGAGUACUAUUGAUUGUGAUAAGACUGACACUAUUCUGUAACUGACACUGUCUCUAAAUAAACAACUAAAUUCUCGGGUAUUAAAUACCCCCAGGACUCGAUAGCAAGAAAAGUAAAGCAUCACAUGAUCUUGCAAAGCAUAACAAUGUAUACAUGUUCAUAUAUCAUCUAUAGAGACAUUUUAUCAGACAUUUUAUCAAACACUUGUAGGGCAUAUGCUUGUUCAUAUACUAACAUGUCAUGAUUUCAUCACUUUAUUCACAUGGACAUUCUAUCAAACACUUGGGGAUCACAAAUUCAUGCACAUAAUCAUGGAUAACAUAUAGACGUGGUAACUACAAUGUCCAACUUACAAUGCCAUGGAUUUAGCAUGCAAUUCAUAUAAUCCCCAUAAAAUACUAAUUUUAUGAAUCAUAUAAUAAUCAUGAAUUAAAACCCAGUUAACAUUAUAGACACAUUAAUCACUUUGUAAUUUCAAGGGUUUAUCAAGAUAAUCAUAUAUUCAUCACACAUGCUAUUUAAUUUCAUGAAACUUGCACUUAAAUCAUGGAUUGAAACCUAACUACUAUCAUAAACAUCAAUUCAAUCUAAUUCAAAUAUGGAAAUUAUAAAUCUGAUAUCUUGUAUAUUUAGAAAGGGAUUCUUGGACUCUAUGGGUGAAAGGAACCCAUAGAAGAACACCUAACAUACCUAUGAAGAAGAGUUCUUGAAGGUUCUUGGAGAGAUUCUUGAGGAUUGACCUUGAUUCUUGAACUAGGGUUUUUGCCUCUUGAGAGAGAAUGAUUUAAUUUGGGGAAAAACUAAAUGAAUAAUGGUGUAACUAGGUUUAUUAGAGUUGAAUUUCAUGUUAAAGGCAGACUAGGGAUGUGGAAAAGACUCAAAUACCCUAGGAAUAAUUUAAAAACUCAAAAUUUAAAUUUGGAAAUUAACUGAAAAAUCCUAAUAUGGGACCUUGGUAUGAUGCGGCGCCAUCGCGCCGUGUCACUAGAAAGUGGACAACUGGGAAUUGGACCAUCAACAUAACACGGUGGAAUCGCGUUACCUCUUGGAUGCAACCUGAAAGUUCACCGCGGUGUGCUACUAGCCUGAAUGGCGGUGUUUAAUGAUUGAAACUUAAAAUUGACAUAACUUCUCACCCGAUUAUCGAAUUUAGGUAAAUUUUAUAUCGUUAGAAAGCUAAUUGAAUUUCCUACGCAAUGGUAGGGUCUACACAGAAAAAUAAUAAGCUUUUUAAAAAUUUUAUAUACAAAUACUCAUGCACUGAGACUUAGAAUAUGCUAGGAAAAUAUGAGGUGUUAUAGAUUUAUUGUGUACUGUGAUGCAUCCAGAGUAGGUUUGAGUUGUGUCCUAAUACAGAGAGGUAAGUUCAUGGACUAUUUCACUAGACAUAAGCCAUAUGAGAAGAAUUACCCUACCUAUAAUUUUGAAUUAGCAGCUGUUAUGUUUGCCUUAAAGAUUUGGAGGCAUUAUUUUUAUAGGUGCAUGUUGAUGUAUUCAUAGAACACAAAAGCUUGCAGUAUGUAUUCUCUCAGAAAGAUUUGAAUUUACGUCAAAGAAGGUGGUUAGAUUUGUUGAAAGAUUAUGAUAUGAGUGUUUUUUUAUCAUCCGAGCAAGGCCAAUGUAGUGGCAAAUACUCUCAGUGGGUUUACUAUGGGUAGUAUUGAUUAUGUUAAGAAUGGUAAAAAGAAGUUAGUUCAGGAAGUUCAUCAGCUUUCCGAACUAAAUAUCCGCUUAGUCGAUUUGACAAAGAGUAGUGUGUGGGUGUAGAAUAGUUCAGAAUCAUCUCUGGUUUACAAAGUGAGGGAAAAGCAGGAUAGAGAUCCCAGCCUAUUUAAGUUGAAAGUCAGCCAUAGAUCAGAAAGUAGAGGUUUUAUCCCAAGGGGGAGAUGGUAUGUUGAGUUGCCAGGGUCGGUUAUGUAUGCCAAGUGUAGAUGACUUGAGGCAAUGAAUUCUUGCUGAAGUGCACAGUACGCAUUACUCGAUUCAUCUAGGGUCCACUAAGAUGUACCGUGAUUUACGGGAGAUCUAUUAGUGGUGUGGAAUAAAGAGGGAUAUCACAGAGUUUGUAGCUAAGUGAUCUAUGUGUUAGCAUGUUAAUAUUGAGCACCAGAAGCUUAGUGGGUUCAUACAGGAGUUCAGUAUUCCCACAUGGAAAUGGUAGAAAGUGAACAAGGACUUUGUGAUGGGUUUGCCUCGUAUGCGCCAUCAACAUAAUUUAAUUUGGGUUAUCAUAGAUAGGAUAAUGAAAUUUUCCCAUUUCUUGCCAGUUCAUACUUCUUUUUCAGCCGAGGACUAUGCUAAAUUCUAUAUUAGAGAGUUGGUCAGGUUACACGAAGUCCUAUUAUCCAUUAUUGCAGAUAGAGGUACCCAGUUUACCUCUUAUUUUUGGAAAUUAUUCCCAAUGGGUCUUGGUACCCAAGUUUACCUUAGUACAACUUUUCACCCUCAGACAAAUGGUUAAGCAGAAAGGACCAUUCAGUGCGUUGUUGAUUUUAAAGGUAGUUGGGAUUACCACUUGCCGUUGAUUGAAUUCACAUAUAAAAACAACUGUCAUUCUAGUAUUCAGAUGGCUUCGUUUGAGAAACUUUAUGGUAGGAGAUAUAGAACUCCAAUUGGUUCGUUAAAGGUAGGUGAGGUCAUAGUAGUAGGGCCUGAUUUAGUGUUUGAUGCCUUACAGAAGGUUCAGUUGAUCAGAGAAAGGCUUAAGGCAUCCCAGAGCCAACAGAAAUCAUCUGUAGAUAUAAGGAGAAAGGAUCUCGAGUUUGAGAUUGGUGAUUUUAUUACUUAAAAAUCACUCCCAUGAAGAGAGUGAAGAGGUUCGAUAAGAAGGGGAAGCUCAGUCCAUGAUAUGUCAUCCUUACAGAAUUCUUAACCAUUUUGGAAAUGUAGCUUACAAGAUUGAGUUGCCUUCAGACAUAGCUUCAGUGCACCCAGUAUUCCAUGUAUCCUUGCUAAAGAAAUGCAUUGGUGACCCAAAAACUGUAGUCCUCUUAGAGGGUGUAGAUAUUCAAAAUAAUCUCUCUUUCGAAGGAGUUCCAAUAUAAUCCAUAAUCGUCAGAUUCACAGACUAAGGAAUAAAGAAGUUCCCUUGGUCAAAGUUGUCUGGCAGAACCAGUCCAUUGAGAGAGCUACUUGAAAAGCAAAAGCAGAUGUGCAAACCAAGUAUCCUCACCUCUUCUCCGCAUACUCAAACUCAUCUUGAGGUAACAAUCUUUCUUAGAUUUACUCAGUUCCAUGUUUUGUUAUAGUUACAAACUUAGUAUCAAUUACCAUUGUAUAUCAUUCUCACGACAGUCAUGCAUUCAUGAAUCAGUUUAGCCAUGUAAUCAUGUUUCAGUAUGAAAACUCAGUUUAUCAGUAGUUUUAGUCAUGUAAUCAUGCCUCAGUUGGACAUGUUUAGUAUUUAAACUCAGUCUAUCAGUAUUUCUUAGCUUAAUCAGUCUCAUUCAAGGAUGAAUGUUCCCAUGGGGGAGAUAUUGUAAUACCCUAUAUUUUCCAAGCUCAAUUUAGCUCUCAGUACAUGAGAAUUCCUAUAUAUACUUUCAAAAAUACUCAGAAUUUUCCAUCUUAAGACCCAUCAUUAAGUAGGAAAUUCAGUCAGUUUUCCAAUAAUAUAAAUUUCGCCCAAAUCCGAUAUUUGGGUGAGAAGUUAUGGAACUUUUAGUGAAACAAUAAGUCAAAUUGAGAAGCAUCGCAUUGCGGUGAGGUUUAAAGUGGAAUUCGUCAGUUUCCUAUGAGACACUGGGAUUCCAGCACAUCAUGGUGAAGUCCUAGUUCCUAAUUAGCUUUAUCCAGUGUGUCAAUGCGAUAAUGGCACGUCGCGCCAGAUUGCCAUUUCACAAUUAUCACUUUCCAGUGAGGCUCCAUAAUACCUCCGUGUCGCACUAAAGUGCAUUUUCGCACUCGUCCUUGAACUACACUAGCCGACAAAAUCUAGUGGCUCACCGCGAUGCCACCGCAUCGCGGGGAAGGCCAAAAUUGGGAAUCCAGUGACAUGAAUUUUAAUUUCUUUCAGGGGUAAUUUAGUCUUUUUCCACGACCCUAAUCAGUCUAAACACGUGAUUUAACCCCUAAUAACCUUGUUAAGUCAUUAUUCACUCAAUAUUUCCCAAAUCAAGAUUAUUCUCUCUUAAAAUAGUAAAACCCUAGCCUUCAAGAAUCAAAGUCAAAUCUCAACAACACUACCAAGAAUUUUCAAGAAGUUGAUUUCUCAGGUAUGUUUGAUGUUUAUCCAUGGGUCCUUACCACCCAUGGAUCCCAAGAAUUAUUUAUCAAAAUACAAGAUUGAGAUUCCAUGAAUUACAUGUUUGAGUUGGAUUGUGUUCAUGUGUGUAUUGUUAUAUGGUCUUCAAUCCAUGAUUAAUUACAAGUUUUAUGAAAUUAAGAUAGCAUGUGUGAUGAAUUAUGUGAUUCUUAUGUUAAAUCCUUGAAAUUACAAGUUGAAUGUUGUAGCCAUGAUAUAUAUAUAUAUAUAUGUGUGUGUGUGUGUGAAAUAAUUAUGCUCCCUAAGUGUUUGUUAGAAUUCCUAUGUAAAUUGAAUAAUACAAUUAUGACAUGUUAUCAUGUGUUCCCAUUUAUGUACAAGUUCAUGCCUCUCAAGUGUUUGACAAAAUGUCUAAAUGAAUGCAUUAUUAACAAGCAAUUAUUGUUAUGCUUUUAAGAUCAUGUCAUGCUUUACUAUCAAUGCUAUCGAGUCCUGGGGGUAUUUAAUACCCAAAAUCUAGCUAUUUACCUAGAAUUACAGUAGCUACAUAAUAGUCUUAGUAAUGUCACGAAUAGUAGUACUCAAUUAGUUACAAAACUCAGUGAAACUCAUUCCAGUUCAGUUCGGUCUAAUAAUUAGUGUCAUUCAGUUGGGAGUAGGAUUCAACACCGACUAACCCAAGGAUGAGGGAUCACCUAUCAGUAGAGGGUGUGCUCCUUAGUAGCAGUCCUUGUGUUCCAAAACUACGUAGCCAGUGCAGGUUGAGAUAUCAACCUACUAGUUGAGGGUUGAUAAAGUAGUUACCUGCUAGUUGAAGGUAAUACCGCUCUCAUCAGGGAACUUGCCAGUAUAGGGUAACCCUUAGUCCUUCGGGAUGACAUUUUAGUAGAUCCACACAACCAGUGUCUGUACUCAUGGCACGGUACUAACACUCUUCCAACUGGGGUUACAAGUUGGACCCUAAUCAGUUUAGAGAUAGGAAUGUCGGUUAGAUGAUUACCUCCCACAGUUUUCAGUUUUAGUCUCAACAUAGAACUCAGUUCAGUUCUACAGAAUUAGGACUGUCAGAAACAGUCACCUAGUUAUCAAUAAUUCAAUUAUCAGUAAUCUCAGAUAUUAGUUACUCGUUAUCAGAAUUCAAUACUCAAUUUUAAUAUAAAUCUCUGACACAAUAUAUAUAUAUAUAUAUGUAUAUGCACAAUAUUUCAUAAUUAGUGUUUACAGCAACUUCAGUUAUCCAUGUACUCUUAUUCAGUUAUAUUUAUAUCACUCAGUCAGUUACUGUUCAUGCAUAUGAACCCAUGCAUAUUAGUCUUACCUCAUCUAGCAUACCAGUACAUUUCACAUACUGAUCGCAUACUCUUUUCUUGCACUAUAAUGUCUCAUAUCAUAGGUUCGGAUGCUCAGGUUCCUGACCGUGAUUAGCCAGAUUCAGUCAGCAACAACAGAUUUAGCAGUGAGUCCUCAUCUAUCGAGGAUAUUUUUUUAUUUAAGUAUUACAGUAGAUUUAGUAUUUUAUUACCCGUGCUUAGUUGGGGGCUUGUCCCAUCAACUCCACAUUCAGGCAGUUUAGUUAGAAGCUUUUCAAACUUGACUAGUUCAGAUAAUAUUUAGUUUUCAGAUGUUAUUAUCAAUUUCUAUAUUUAUCAAUAUUCAGAUUAUGAACCUUAUGGCACCUCAGCCUAACUUUUGCAUUAUUUCAGUAUUAAUAUUUAGUUCUCACAACAGGUACCAGUCAUGGGUUAACUUGUGGUCCUUCAGGGUCGUAAGCAUUGUGUGGCAUUCGGGGUGCAGACUCGGGGUGUUAUACUAACCAUCACAUCAUUCUACAAGGGACGGAUGAACUUUGAGCAUAUAAUAAUGUAACAGAAAUAAGACUAAUGAUCACGACUUAAGAGAUGUCUAAUUAAUUCAUUUACAUCAAUAUACGAACCAACAUACCCAAGUACGCAGUCAUUUACAAAUCCUCUAUAAAUUUGAUGUCUAUAAUAUGUCGAGACAUGCCCCCAAUAAUAGCCAUAAGCCAAGUCUAAAACAAAUCUAUAACAUAAGAUAGAAAGACCAUGAAAUAUAUACCUUUUGAAGUAUGGAAAAUCAACACUUCAAUGUCAACACACGAACCACUCGAACACCUAUCACUACAUAGGAAAAGAAGAAGAAGCUCGAUCCUCUGUGUCACGUGGGGAUACAAUAUCUGGAGACGGUUAGCGGUUGGAGUGCUAGUAUAUAAUUAUGGAUAAGGAUAAAAUAGAGUCAUUAUUCAAAACCAAGUCCAACCAUCAUAUGCAACCACUUUUAUAUACAUAGGCAUAUAUCUAGGUGUGUGUAUAUGUGUAUAUAUAUAUAUAUAUAUAUAUAUAUAUAUAUAUAUANNNNNNNNNNNNNNNNNNNNNNNNNNNNNNNNNNNNNNUAUAUAUAUAUAUAAACAUAAUGUGCCAGAAAGGGAUAACAAGGCUUAGUAUGCAUUUUUGGAAAUACUCAAUCAUGAAACAUGGAGUGAAGGACUCUAACCUUCCACCCUUAUAGUUAAGAACAUUUGAAUUGUUAGGUUAUAUUAAGCAAUAGGACCCUAACCUCAAGUAGACGUAUCUAUUAUAGCAAGAGAAGUCUAACCUUAAGCCAUCAUAUCUUAUAUGGCAAGUGGACCCUAACCACAUGCCAUCAUAUCUUAUAUGGUAAGUGGAACCUAACCAGAAGCUAUCUUAUCUAGUAUGUCAAGUGGACCUUAACCACAAGCCGCCUUCUAUAGAAAGUGUACCCUAACCACAAGUCAUCACGUAUAUAUAGAAAUAGCAAGUGGAAUCUAACCACAAGCUGUUGUGAUCGUCACUAGUCGACAUUGGGACUUUAAACCCCUCGUCCAUGUAUUAACACCCAUUUAAUUCAAAAUAUAAGGACUCUAACCUGUUUAGCCAAUUCAAGCCACCAAGGCUACAAUUCAACGGUAUAUAUGACCACAUGGUCUUUAUAAAACCAUUUAAUAACCAAUCAUUUAAAUAGGCCAAUGCCUUAGUUCAUGCCACAAUACAAACCGAUUUAUGGUCAUCAAGACCUUUAUAAAUUAUUCAUUCUUCAUUGGCAUUAUUAUACCAAACUUUAGUUCAAAACACAAUUUAAUUCCAUGCUUAGGGACUCCAAACCUUUUAAUUAUCAUACCACCAUAGUCACCAAAUUAACUCAUUACAUGGCCAUCAAGGCCUUCACAUAUAUAUUUACCAAGCAUUCAUAUUUAUUAGGUUAAUGUCAUAAUUCAUUCAUAUUCAUUAAACGAAUGUCAUAGUUCAAAACACCAUUAACAUGUGACUAGUAAUUCUCUUAGACAUUUUCACAAACACCUUGAGGGCAUACCUUUAACAAGACCAAAACCAAAGUAGAAACCAUCAAAAUUAGGGUUACUCAUGACCCAUUUAUUAAACCACAAUCAACAAGAAUUAACAUGUGCAAACCAUUACUAAAAACAUAUUUAAAAACACAAGUUAAGCAAGAGAACAAUACCCAACACUAUACAUCAAAACCCUCAAUAUUUGAUUUUAAAACCACCAUUUACAAGUCAAAAUCAUUGUUUAAAAUUCAUAAUAUUUUGAAAUAAUAAUGAGGAAAGAGUCACAUGUCUUAUAUAAGAUGAUUCAUGGAAGGAACUUGACCCCUCUUAGCCUUUGGAUGAACACUUGAGAAACCCUAGCCUCUAAUCUUUAAGAGUGAGUUAGAAAGUGUAUUUGGUGAAUUUUGAUCUUCCACUAAGUGUUAUAGGAGGCCACAAUAUGAUAUAUAACAUGGGUACUUUAGGGUUUUAGGUUGGGAAAUUUCCAAAAUACCCCUAACUUAAAAGUUAAAAACUCAUUCCCAAGAGGGUAUGACUUACCCAACUAAACCGUAUCCUAGGGUACGAGUGGUACCCUAAAUCAUACCCUAGGCCUCACCAUGGACCUCUAAACUGUCCAAGAUAUGACUACAUAUGCAUAACUUAUACCCUAAGGUAUGAGUGGUACUAUACAAAUCAUACCCAAGAUAGUGUCCAUUAGAUCAAGCUUAACCCAUUAUACAACUAGGUAACAUACGACCCAUACCCUAACAUAUGACUUGGUAGGGGCUAAAACGUACCUUGGACAAAAUGUAACCCACACUAUGCUUCCCAACAUACAAGUGAGAGAAUACCAAACCAUAUUCUAAGGUACGACUAGUACCCAUGAGUCGUACGUUGCCCAGAAUGUUCAACACUUAAGAAAUUUUGAAAGGCAAAGGUUUAGGGUGUUUCAUUUGAUUUGGUCCUUAGUGGCUUUCUAAAGUUUUCAAGACACACUGUAAUACCCCAUAAAAGUCUUAGCUCCUUUUAGUUGCAUGUUAAGAGGGGGGGUCCAAAACUUGAAAAUUUAGCUAAGUGUUGAGGACUUAGUCAUUUUCAAGACCUCUAAACUUUGAUGAUUUUAUUUUUGACCUUUCCGACCUUAAAAUGUCAAUUUUUAAGUUGAUUCAUGAUUGGGGUUGUUCAAAGUACAUAUCGGGUGAGUUUCAAAAUUUUCUAACGAGGGUAGGGGUAUGUUUAGAUCAUCAAAAUAGUAGCAGCACCGGGAUGAGCCCGCAGCGCCCGCUCCAGUGCACUACACUAGGGCCCAUGGUGCACCCUCUCUCCCCUAUCUAGCUUCUUAUUUCUCAUUAAUUAAGGGCAUUUGGGUUAUUUCACUCUACCCAAAUAGUCCAUAACACGAAAUUAAGUCCCCAAGGAGCAUUAUUUGCCCCUUUAUUCAUAAAAACUCUCAAGAAAUCCAUCUCCCAUCUCAAGAACAAAUCCUAAACUAUUCUUAAGAAAUAAAGGAAUUCAAUAUCCAAAUCUCAAGAAAUUCCUAAUAAUCUUUACAAAUUCAUCUGGUGAGGUAUGAGUGAUGUUCAUCCAUGGGUUCCUUUCACCCAUGGAGUCCAAGAACCUUUUUUUUUAUUUUAAAUUAUGAGUAUUCAUGUUUAAAUUGAAAUAUCUCCAUCAAUUUCUUGUUAGUUCAAUUGCAAGUUAUAUUUAUAAGUGUUUUCAGGUAAGAUGAGCCAUUACAUAUUUUAAACAAUGUAAACUUCACGUUAAAUCCCUAGGUUAUGAUUUUAGUCUUGUAAGCAUAUUAUUCUCGUAUGCUUUACCCAUUCUCAUACUUAAGUUCACGACUCUCAAGUGUUUGAUGAAAUGCCUAAGUGAUGGUUUUUAAAAAAUGAUCCCCUACUAUGGUUUUCAAGUUUUAUGUGGAAUUAUUGUUAAUUCAUUCAAUGCUGGUGGAUUAUGAACACCCGGUACCUAUGUGAUUUAUAAAAAUCAUGCUUUUCAAAUAUUCAGAUAGUUAAUCCAUGAAUUUUAUAAGUAUACUCAGAUAUUCAUAUUCAUGAUGAGCAUUAUCAAUUUAUAUGUUCAUAAUUACCUCCAAAUCUGUAUGCACUGUUAUUUUAGAAUACCAUGACCUGAGCUUAUCAGUUAUUAGUUGUCAGUGCAUGCACCAGUUAGUAUUUUAGUGUCUUUCAGUUAGGAGUAGGAUUUAGGACCGAGUAGAAAGUGUGGGUUCAAUGCACCUUAAUUUCCCAGAAACUACAUGCCACCGUAUGUUUAGGGGCCUCACAGAGAGUGUUUCCCCUUGCCCAAUAUGAGCUUAGUUUAGUGAUCACUCCAAUUCAUUUCAGGUUCUAUUCCAAUGGCAAGGAUGGAACAACCCACCUCAAAGUGGGUCAGAUGUUUGACUCCAUGAUAGCUCACAUAAUUUAUAUCGGUCAUAUGAUAGCUCCCACAGUCUUAGUAUAGCAUGCAAUAUAUUCUUAGUUCAGGUUUGCUUGACCAAGUGUACAGACUUUUAGUUAUUCAGUUAUAUAGUUUAUAGUCUUUCAAGCUCAAACUUACAUCAGAUUACAGAUUUAUGCUUGGUCUUGCAUUCUCAUAUGUCACAGUUUUAAUGCAUUCAUGUUCAGUUAUCUCAUGCUAUUCAGUCAGUCCUUAUUUUAUAUGCACCGUGCCCCAUGUAUAUCAGCCCAACCUUAUCUCAUAUAUCAGUAUAUUCAAAGUACUGACCACAUACUUUUCUUUGUGCUAUAAUAUCUUAUAUCAUAGGAUUGAACGUACAGUUUCUCGAUCACCAUUAGACAACUCAGCAUAAUUCAGCAGCCGUAGUAGUGAUUUCUCAGCUAUUGAGGGCAUAUUAUGCUUAUUCAGUUAUUUCACUAUUUCAUUUUGUUCAGUCAGUCAAAGUUAGUUGGGGGUCUGUCCCAUCAAAUCCUUAGUCAGUUUAGAGGCUUUCGGACAUUCAGACAGAACAGUUAGAUAUUCAUUUAGUUACUUUUAGUUUUUAUCAGAUGUUUCAGACUUAUAAUUGAUUCAAUAUUUCAAUAUUUAGAUUUAUAUUUUCCUUCUCAGUUUAUCUUCAGCGCAUAUGUUAUGUUCAUAUUUUAUUAAGUACUCACAGCAGGUACCAACUUAUGGGUUAACUUAUGGUCACUUGUGAUUGUGAGCACCGUUGUCACGACUAGGGGGUAGCCUCGCGUCGUGACACACACUUCAACCAACACAAAAAUGUACCCUUCAACAAUUAGGACAAUAUCUAGAUUUCUUUCUAGUUUGGUUUAAAAUAGAGGGUGAAUGAAGUCAUGAUUAAUCUGUGAGAUAUAAAACAUUAAUGGAUCAUUAAGCAUGUACCAAUAAUAAUUAAAUUCAUGUAAAAAGACAAAACACAUACAACCAUACAUAUUGAACAACUACAUUCAAUAGAAAAACUUAACUAUUUAUGCAAACUAGAUGAGUCAUGCCAGAUGUUCACCCCAUAAAUCAAAGCAGAACCAACCCAAACGAAGAGCAAACUGACUAUUUAAGAUAGAAAAAUAUUCAAUUUAAUAAGUAUUUGUUUCAUUGAACCAACAUGUAACUCAGAUGAAGAGUUAAUACAAGUUAUCAAUAAUAAAAAAUUAAAACAUAGUAAUGCACUGUAAUAAAUCUAUCAAUGAGAAAGGAAGACCAAUGUCAACAGGUAAAAUCAUUAUUACUAUUACAUAUGAAUGGAGAUCUUAGAGAUUGAAUGCUACCACCGCUAGUUUUUAGAAAAAUAUUUUUUUCUCAAUUUUUAAUUUUUUAAAAAAUAAAAAAAUCUAAAAAUCCAUCAAAACGACUUUGAAUGGUAAAAAAACUAAGCAGAUCAUGACAUAGCAAUGAGUAUUGCUCAGUGAACCAUUUUUGAUGAACAUAUUAAUUUUUAGGUCAAUUCAAAUUUUAAAAAAAUUCAAAAUCCACAAUAAUCAACAAGGUUGUUUGCAAGGAUUAUCAGGGCUGCCAGUGCAGCUUGGCCUUGCCACUGCAUGACUCGCUAAGGCAUGUGGAGAAUGUCAGUGCUUGAGAAUAUUCAAGAUGUUUUACGAUUUUUUCCUCAAUUUAGAAUUUUAGUUUUAAGAAAUUUCAAAAAAUUACCAGAAAAUAAUUUUUAUUCUCUGAAUUAAUUAACGACAAACAUAGAUUUCGACAAUUAAUAAAAUCAUUAAUAUUCAUCAACAAAAUGAUUUACACAUAAACUAAACAAGUAUAUGAAUAAUGAAUUUUCUUUUACAUUAUGAAGUAUAUGUAAGAAGGCUCGUGAUGUCAAUUGUUGGAGCAUGUAUAGCAGAAGAAAGCAUAAAGGAUCACAUAAACUUACAUAAAUCUAGAUGACGUAAUUAUGAAUCAGUUUACAAAUAACCAACCUCAUGAAGCUAUUAUACAAAUUAUCCAAUGCAUUUUUGAGGUUUGUAAUCUUCUCUUAUAAUCUCAAAAUCUCCGAGUGUCGAAACUUGUGUGGGCAAGUACUCAGAAAAAAAAUUUCUGUAAAAGAGGAAAGUNNNNNNNNNNNNNNNNNNNNNNNNNNNNNNNNNNNNNNNNNNNNAAUUUUGUAAGCCAUAUUUGGGCACCUAAAUUACCAAGAGUACCCUAGUUAUAAGAGAGCUUAUGAUGUGUUAAGUGUGGUUAUAUGAGUCACUUAAGGUAGUACAAACUAAGAGUUUCGAAAUCUAUCAAGUUUUAGUGUUUGAAUUUGCAAGGGUCAUCUUUGAAUUAGAAUAACUUGAUAAAUAUGUGGUAUUUCUGCAUAUUUCUAUCCAAAAAAUUAUACAUAAUCGAAUUAACUUUCCAACGAUACCAAUUUCACCAAAAUCCGACACCCGAGCUAGGAGUUAUGGCUUUGCAAAGUAGAGUGCAUCGCCUAACCAAUCGCACAUGGCCACUGGAAAGCAUAUGCGGCACCUAUGUAAAUAUAGGCGAUAAUAUAGGUGAUAUCAUAUACAGUGCCUAUGUAAAUAUAGGCGAUAUCAUAUGCGGCGCCUAUGUAAAUAUAGGCAAUAGCAUAUGCGGCGCCUAUGUAAAUAUAUGCGAUAUCAUAUGCAGCGCAUAUCUUAUGGUUUCAAGUGAUUUAAACACUUCGUUUUUGGGUUAUUUUGAGGGCAAUUAAGUCUUUUGGCACUCCUUACACACCCCUAAACUUAACCUUAUGAAUUUAAUAGAUUCUAAAAACAUCAUAACCCUAUUAUCAGUCUAAGUUCAUCAUCCAAGAGCACUAAAGGAGAAAAACAACUAGGGUUACGCAAUCAAUAUUGAGGGUCCAAUCUUUUAAUGAAUCCGUUGCCAUAAAGGUAUGUGGGGCUAUGAACAAGAACACCCUUUUGUUCUUGUGCCCAAAGUUUGCAUUAUUUUACAAAAAUACAUGAUUUUUACAUGUUUUUUUUACAUGUUUUAUCAUGAAUGUGAAGUGAUAAAUCUUAUCCUAUGUUGUUGUUCAAGAUACUAUGAUUAUUUUGAAUGUUUAGAAAAUAAACUCCAUGAGUUUGAGAUUAUUGUUAUGAUUAAAGGCUGAAAUUUUNNNNNNNNNNNNNNNNNNNNNNNNNNNNNNNNNNNNNNNNNNNNNNNNNNNNNNNNNNNNNNNNNNNNNNNNNNNNNNNNNNNNNNNNNNNNNNNNNNNNNNNNNNNNNNNNNNNNNNNNNNNNNNNNNNNNNNNNNNNNNNNNNNNNNNNNNNNNNNNNNNNNNNNNNNNNNNNNNNNNNNNNNNNNNNNNNNNNNNNNNNNNNNNNNNNNNNNNNNNNNNNNNNNNNNNNNNNNNNNNNNNNNNNNNNNNNNNNNNNNNNNNNNNNNNNNNNNNNNNNNNNNNNNNNNNNNNNNNNNNNNNNNNNNNNNNNNNNNNNNNNNNNNNNNNNNNNNNNNNNNNNNNNNNNNNNNNNNNNNNNNNNNNNNNNNNNNNNNNNNNNNNNNNNNNNNNNNNNNNNNNNNNNNNNNNNNNNNNNNNNNNNNNNNNNNNNNNNNNNNNNNNNNNNNNNNNNNNNNNNNNNNNNNNNNNNNNNNNNNNNNNNNNNNNNNNNNNNNNNNNNNNNNNNNNNNNNNNNNNNNNNNNNNNNNNNNNNNNNNNNNNNNNNNNNNNNNNNNNNNNNNNNNNNNNNNNNNNNNNNNNNNNNNNNNNNNNNNNNNNNNNNNNNNNNNNNNNNNNNNNNNNNNNNNNNNNNNNNNNNNNNNNNNNNNNNNNNNNNNNNNNNNNNNNNNNNNNNNNNNNNNNNNNNNNNNNNNNNNNNNNNNNNNNNNNNNNNNNNNNNNNNNNNNNNNNNNNNNNNNNNNNNNNNNNNNNNNNNNNUAUAUAUAUAUAUAUAUAUAUAUAGAUAGAUAGAUAGAUAGAUAGAUAGAUAGAUAGAUAAACAGAUAGAUAUAAAUAUGUUUAUUUAAUGCACCCCAUGCACUCGGUACAUAUUUCAUGGUAUUGACCCACAUGUUCGCAUGUGUGUUACAUUUUCCCUAUAAUGUAGGUUCAGGUGCUCAUUCCCAGGUUUGACCAUGAUUAUCCGAGCACGUUGAUCUACAUCCUCUGCAGUGGUGAGUCCUCAUGGUUUGAGGACUAGUUAUUCAGGUUUCCUCAUUUACUUUGAGUCAUUCAGUUUAUUUCCUGAGUUUGGGUCUAUUAGGGUUUGUCCCAAUGGCUCAUGGAUUACAGUUUAGUAGAGGCUUGUCAGACUAGAUGGAUAGAUUGAUCAGAUUUGUUAGAGAUGUCAUAUCUUGUUACUUUCUGUAUUUCAUUCGUAUUGUAGUAUGAUAUUUUUGAGGAUGUUUAGAUGUUUUGAUUAUGAUGACUUUGAUUAUAAGUAUUAAAUGGUAGAAAAAUGGCUAAAUGGGUUAGCUUGGGGCUACUUGUAGCCUUAAGCAUCGUGUGACUCCUCGAGGCCCAUUUUUGGGGCGUUACAAACUUGGUAUCAGAGCCUAAGGUUAUUGGAGUCCUAGGGAGUAUGAAAAGCUGUGUUAAAUAGAGUGUUGAUCAUCGGUGUAUAGUGCGCCACAUCUAUGAGCAAGAGGUUACGAAACAUUUUAGAAAAAAAGGGUCAUUUCAUUCUUUCAGAAGUCUAUCGUGCUUAUAGUUGUUCCCUUUCAGCUAUAAAUUCAUGCUCUUUUUUUUCAGAAUAUGCCUCCUUGCCGAGCUAGAAGAAAUAAUGUGGGUCAGCAACCUCAGCCUGCUGAUUCCCUAAAUGGAAAUGUAUUCCACACUGAGUUUAGGGCAGCAUUUCAGGUGCUUGCCUAAGCUGUUACCGCCAACGUUCAGUCCAACCAGGCCUCGGCUCCACAACAACAGGGAGGUGACUUAGCUUCCAAAAAAAUCCAUGACUUUAUGCGGAUGAAUCCACAAGAGUUUUAUGGGUCCAAGGUAGGUGAGGAUCUGCAGUUAGAUCUGUAGGAGAUAAAGAAGAUCACACAGGUAAUGCACGUGUCUGAGAAGGAGAGUGUUGAGUUAGCAUCCUACAGAUUAAAAGACCUUGCAUAUGACUGGGUGGUUGCAUGGAGAAAGGAUAGAGUAGAGAGUGCUGCUCCUAUGACUUGGCAGGAGUUCCAGGAUGCAUUCUUGGAUAAAUUUUUUCCACUAGAGUUGAAAGAGGAAAAAGUAGAGGAGUUCAUAAACUUACGGCAAGGCUCCAUGACUGUUGAGGAGUAUUACUUGAAGUUUAAUCAGUUAGCAAAAUAUGCCCCAAAUCUGAUAGCCGACAACCGAGCCAGUAUGGGUAAGUUCUUGACAGGGGUGUCAAUCUAUGUGAUUAAGGAGUGUAGAUCAGCUAUGCUUAAUAGUGAGAUGAAUCUUUCCAUACUGAUGACCCAUGCCUAAUAGAUCAAAUCAGAUAAGAUAAAAGAGAGCGAUAGAGUAAGGGACAAUAAGAGAGCCAGCUUCGAGUAACCUACUUAUGGUUAGAACAGAUCACAAGGAGAGAAUUGUCGUUAGUUUCAAAGCCGCUCAUCUAUGACAGCACCAUUGUCAGUUAGUGCUCCAACACUUAGAGGUAGGCAAGAAUAAAGAAAUAGGUCUUCUAUUUUUGGAUCUCAGGAUACUGUGAGUAAUCGGCCUAAUCGUCCACCAUGCACCAAGUGUGGUAGGGAUCAUGGGGAUAGUAUUUGUGGGGUCAAAAGGGCUGCUAUGGAUAUGUCCAGGAGGGCCACGGUUUUAGAGAUUGUCCUCAUACCAGACAGGGGAACCGUGAUGUUUGCCCCCAGGCUCAGACUGCUAGUGCUCCAGCUCCUGUAGCUCAUCCAGCUCCUACUCAUGGUGCUUCUUCCAGCACCACUGGUGGUCAGUGCCAGAACAGAUUCUAUUCUUUGCCUUCCCGUCAGGAGCAGAAAGACUCCCCAGAUAUUGUUACUGGUAUGCUUUGUGUGUUUCAGUUUGAUGUUUAUGCGUUGUUGGACCCUGGGUCCAGUUUUUCAUAUGUGACACCUUUGGUUGCUGUAAAUUUUGAAGUGAGUCCCAAGAUUGUCUCUGAGCCCAUCCUAGUUUCUACCCAUGUGGGUGAGUCCAUUGUUGCCCGAAAAAUAUACAAAAAGUGUUCUGUUUCUAUUCUUCAUAGAGUUAUAUUUGUUGAUCUGAUAGAGUUAGACAUGGUAGAUUUUUAUGUUAUUCUGGGUAUGGACUGGCUUCACUCUUGUUAUGCAUCCAUAGACUGUCGUACGCGUGUAGUCAAGUUUUAGUUCCCUGGUGAGUCUGUUAUCGAAUGGUCUAGUAAUUCCGUAUCUCCCAAGAGUCAUUUUAUCUUAUAUCUCAAGGCUAGAAAGCUUAUUUCCAAAGGGUGCAUUUAUCCCCUAGUCAGAGUUAAAGACACUAAGUCUAAGACUCCAACUCUCCAGUCAGUUGACGUUGUUAAUGAGUUUCCCGAUGUCUUUCUGGAAGAUCUUCCAGGGGUACCUCCCGAUAGAGAGAUAGAAUUUGGGAUUGAUCUUCUUUCCUAUACUCAGCCCAUUUUUAUUCCUCCAUACCGUAUGGCACCCGCAAAACUUAAAAAGUUGAAAGAGCAACUCAAAGAUCUCUUAGAUAAAGGUUUUAUAACACUAAGUGUGUCUCCUUGGGGUGCACCUGUCCUAUUCGUGCAAAAGAAAGAUGGUUCUUUGUGCAUGUGCAUUGACUAUCGCCAGCUUAACAAAGUCACUAUAAAAAACAAGUAUCCCCUUCCAAGAAUAAAUGAUUUGUUUGAUCAAUUUCAAGGUGCAAAUUACUUCUCAAAGAUAGACCUUCGCUCUGGCUAUCAUUAACUCAGAAUUAGGGAAUGUGAUAUCCUGAAGACAGCUUUCCGAACAUGUUAUGGUCAUUUUGAGUUUCUUUUUAUGUCCUUCGGGCUAACUAAUGCCCCAGCAGCUUUCAUGGACCUCAUGAAUCGAGUGUUCAGGCCAUAUCUUGAUAUGUUUGUCAUAGUGUUUAUAGAUGACAUUUUGGUAUACUCCUAUAGUGAGAAUGAACAUGCAGAUCAUCUCAGUAUCAUCUUGCAAACCCUUAGAGAUCAUCACUUGUUUGACAAAUUUAGCAAGUGUGAAUUUUGGCUAAGGUCAGUUGCUUUUUUGGGUCAUAUUAUUUCUUUCAAAGGUGUUAGAGUUGAUCCCCAAAAAACAGAAGCUGUUAGAAACUGGCCUAGACCUAUCUCUCUAUCUGACAUUAGAAAUUUCUUGGGUCUAGCUGGCUAUUACCGCCUUUUUAUUGAAGGUUUCUCCUAUAUAACAUCUCCUAUGACCCGGUUGACCCAAAAGAAAGUGAAUUUCUUGUGGUCCGAUUCUUGUGAGAAUAGUUUUCAGGAGUUGAAGACUCGACUCACUACAGUCCCUAUUUUGACUCUGCCUGAUGGCGUUGAUGGUUUUAUGGUAUAUUGUGAUGCUUCUAGAAUUGGUUUGGGUUGUGUACUAAUGCAGAAAGGUGAGGUUAUAGCCUAUGCCUUGAGACAGCUGAAACCCCAUGAGAAGAAUUACCCCACCCAUGAUCUUGAGUUAGCUACUGUUGUGUUUGCUCUGAAAAUAUGAAGACACUACUUGUAUGGUGUUCAUGUUAAUGUUUUCACUGAUCAUAAGAGUCUGCAGUAUGUUUUUACCCAGAGAUAGUUAAAUCUUAGGCAGAGAAGGUUGUUAGAGUUAUUGAAAGACUACAAUAUGAGUCUGUUGUAUCACCUAGAAAAGGCUAAUAUAGUGGUGGAUGCCCUUAGCAGAAUAUCUACAAGUAGUGUUUCGCAUAUUGUAGAGGGUAAGAAAGAGUUGGCUCAUGAUAUGCAUCGGUUAACUAGGUUAGGAUUUAGGUUGCUUGACUCCGUUUAAAGGAGUAUGUCAUUACAGAGUAGCUCCGAAUCCUCCUUGGUUUCAGAAGUUAAGGAGAAGCAAAAUUUAGAUGCUAGUUUGGUCAGACUGAAAGAAUCAGUCAAGGACCAAAAGGUGGAGGUUUUCUCUCAAGGGGGGAUGGUGUGUUGAGAUUGCAAGAUAGAUUAUAUAUUCUAAAUGUCGAGGAUCUGAGAUAGAGAAUUAUGGCUGAAGCGCAUGGUGCAAGAUAUUCUAUUCAUCCUGGUGCCACCAAGAUAAACCAUAACUUACGGGAAAUCUAUUGGUGGAGCGGCAUAAAGAAGGAUAUAGCAGCAUUUGUGGCUAAGUGUGCGACGUGCCAAAAGGUUAAGGUAAAACACCAAAGACCUGGUGGUAUGAUGCAGGAUUUUGGUAUUUCCACUUGGAAGUGGGAAAAGAUAAACAUGGAUUUUGUGAUUGGUUUACCUCCUUCCCGACGCCAUCAUGAUUCCAUUUGGGUUGUUGUGGAUAAAUUGACUAAGUCUGCACACUUCUUGCCUGUACAUACUUCUUAUACUGCUGAGGAUUACGCUAGAUUGUACAUCCGGGAAUUAGUCAGAUUGCAUGGAGUUCCCUUGUCCAUCAUUUCAGAUAGGGGUACUCAGUUUACUUCGUAGUUUUGGAGAGCUUUUCAGAAGGGUCUUGGUACCAAAGUGCAUUUGAGUUCUGCUUUCUAUCCACAAAUAGAUGGUCAGGCUGAGAGGACCAUCAAGACCUUAGAGGAUAUGUUGAGAGCAUGUGCUCUUGACUUUAAGGGGAGUUGGGAUGAACAUUUACCAUUAAUAGAGUUUGCUUACAAUAACAGUUUUCAUUCUAUCAUUGGCAUGGCUCUAUUUGAGGCUUUGUAUGAGAGGAAAUAUAGGUCACCCAUAGGUUGGUUUGAAGUGGGUGAAGCGGUCGUGAGUGGUCCUGAUUUGGUCUUUGAAGCUAUGGUAAAAUUCAAAGUGAUUAGAGAAAAAUUAAAAACCGCAUAAAGUCGUCAGAAGUUGUAUACUAAUGUGAGGAGAAGAGACCUUGAAUUUAAAGUUGGUGACUUGGUGUAUUUGAAGAUUUCAUCCAUAAAGGGAGUGAAGAGAUUCGGAAAGAAGGGGAAACUUAGUCCCCGUUAUGUUGGCCCCUACAGAGUUCUUAGCCGUGUUAGUAAGGUAGCGUAUGAGGUUGAGUUGCCUUCAGAUUUAUCUUCCGUUCACUCUGUCUUCCAUGUAUCCAUGCUUAGGAAACACGUUGGUGAUUGUGUUGUUGUAGAUCCUUCAGAAAACCCUAAUGUGCAAGAUAGUCUUUUUUUUAGGAAGUUCCUGUUGAGAUUUUAGAUCACCAAGUCCGAAAACUAAGGAACAAAGAAGUUCCCCAUGGUCAAGGUGUUGUGGCGAAACCAAUCCGUUGAGGGUGCAAUAUGGGAAGCUGAGGUGGAUAUGCAAUCCAAGUGCCCGAACCUAUUUUCCAUAAGCUCCGAUCAAGCUGAAGGUACUAUUCUGCUGUAAAUCAUUCCUUUUCUAUGCAGAAUUGCAAUAGUUCAGCAGUUAUUUUAUACUAUUCAGCUGUGAUUUCAUGAGUGAUGCACCCCUUGUUGUGUCCGAAAUGUAGAAUAAAAUAGAGGCAAGAUUAGCAAGUUGCUUCAGCUGUGUACCCUUCAUUUUCUCUUUACUCUUAGUAUACCCAGCGUCAUUCAAGGAUGAAUGUCCCCAAGGGGGAGAUAUUGUAAUGCCCCACACUUUCCUAAGCUUGAAAACAAACCGUUGUUCGUAUAUGUGAAAACCACAAUUUCAUAAGCCAUAUUUGGGCACCUAAAUUACCAAGAGUACCCUAGUUAUAAGAGAGCUUAUGAUGUGUUAAGUGUGGUUAUAUGAGUCACUUAAGGUAGUACAAGCUAAGAGUUUUAAAAUCCAUCAAGUUUUAGUGUUUGAAUUCGCAAGGGUCAUCUUUGAAUGAGCAUAACUUGAUAAAUAUGUGGUAUUUCUNNNNNNNNNNNNNNNNNNNNNNNNNNNNNNNNNNNNNNNNNNNNNNNNNNNNNNNNNNNNNNNNNNNNNNNNNNNNNNNNNNNNNNNNNNNNNNNNNNNNNNNNNNNNNNNNNNNNNNNNNNNNNNNNNNNNNNNNNNNNNNNNNNNNNNNNNNNNNNNNNNNNNNNNNNNNNNNNNNNNNNNNNNNNNNNNNNNNNNNNNNNNNNNNNNNNNNNNNNNNNNNNNNNNNNNNNNNNNNNNNNNNNNNNNNNNNNNNNNNNNNNNNNNNNNNNNNNNNNNNNNNNNNAAGUGACUUAAACACUCCGUUUUGGGGUUAUUUUGAGGGCAAUUAAGUCUUUUGGCACUCCUUACACACCCCUAAACUUAACCUUAUAAAUUUAAUAGAUUCUAAACACAUCAUAACCCUAUUAUCAGUCUAAGUUCAUUAUCCAAGAGCACUAAAGGAAAAAAGCAACUAAGGUUACGCAAUCAACAUUGAGGGUCCAAUCUUUUGAUGAAUCUGUUGCUAUAAAGGUAUGUGGGGCUAUGAACAAGAACACCCUUUUGUUCUUGUGCCCAAAGUUUGCAUUAUUUUACAAAGGUACAUGAUUUUUACAUGUUUUAUCAUGAAUUUGAAGUGAUAAAUCUUAUCCUAUGUUGUUGUUCAAGAUACUAUGAUUAUUUUGAAUGUUUAGAAAAUAAACUCCAUGAGUUUGAGAUUAUUGUUAUGAUUAAAGGCUGAAAUUUUUCAGAUUUUCGUAUAAAUUAUGCAUGCUUGUGAUAUAAAGCAUAAAUUUUGAAAUAUUUUGAUUAAGUAUCGCUGUAAGGAUCAUUAACCCACAUUGAGAUUGUUGUUUGAAAAAUUUAUGUGCUACAUGCACCCAUGUUUAGACUACUUUUUAUGAAGUAUAGAAAGAUUUGACCUUUUGAUCACAACAGAGUUAAAAUCCACUUUAUGAAACGAGUUACGGAUUUUAUCAUUUAUUUAACUUAAGAAAUAUGAGAUUACCCUUAAAGUGGAUUUUUCUUGAGAUUUUUGAGCAUAGUAUUAGGAGUAGUAUUUAGCACCGAGUUGGGUAUGUUACUACGGUUUCAUACCCCAGAACUACGUGCCACCGUAGGUUGAGACAUUGACUUCCACUAUAUGUGGAAAAUUGAGAUAGUGAUCACUGAGAUGAGAUUGUUCUACACCAAUGGCAAGGGUAGGACAUCCCUAACCUUACAGGGGCAAGUCGUGCAAUAUCAUGGGUGCUCACAUGGUGUACAUGUCGGUUAGAAGAACUUCCCAAAAAGUCGUCCCUCAUUCUUAGAUUGAUUUUACUGAUUUAAAAAAGAUUUAAAAUGCAGAUUUAUGAUGUAUUCAAUAUUCCAGAUUUCAGUAAGAUUGCUUGAUGAGAGAAUAAGAAAAGAAUCUUGAUAUUUGGAUUAAGUGUAAUGCUCAUGAUAUGCAGAUUGGCAUGUUUUACCAUUCAUUGUGUAUGAUUUCAGAUUUUAGAUUUCUUUCAAGCUUUAUGAACCAUUUACAAAUGUCCUGCAUGAUUUGGAAAGAAAACUUAUGACAUGAUCGUUAAUAUAUAUAUAUAUAUAUAUAUAUAUAUGCAUAUAAAUAUGUUUAUUUCAUGCACCCCCAUGUACUCGGUACAUAUUCCAUGGUACUGACCCACAUAUUUGCAUGUGGGCUACAUUUUCCCUAUAAUGUAGGUUCAGGUGCUCAUUCCCAGGUUUGACCAUGAUUAUCCGAGCACGUUGAUCUACAUCCUCUGCAGUGGUGAGUCCUCAUGUCCGAGGACUAGUUAUUCAGGUUUCCUCAUUUACUUUGAGUCGUUCAGUUUAUUUCCUGAGUUCGGGUCAGUUGGGGUUUGUCCCAAUGGCUCAUGGAUAUACAGUUUAGUAGAGGCUUAUCAAACUAGAUGAAUAGAUUUAUCAGAUUUAUCAGAGAUGUCGUAUUUUAUUACUUUCCAUAUUUCAUUCGUAUUGCAGUAUGAUAUUAUGGAGGAUGUUUAGAUGUUUUGAUUAUGAUGACUUUGAUUAUAAGUGUUGAAUGGCAGAAAAACGGCUAAAAGGAUUAGCUUGGAGCUACUUGUAGCCUUAAGAACCGUGUGACGCCUCGAGGCCCAUUUUCGGGGCGUUACAAGGAGGGUCCUAUUUAUAUCCAUAUUUUAGGGUACAAAAUUCCAUCUCAAAAUGAAUAGGAUUCUUCCUCUCUAAGGAUUGUACACGUUUUUGGGUAAAAAUCCAAUCCCAAACAUGCACAACUUUCCUUCUAGAAAACCCGUUUGUUUCUCCAAAAUCCUGUAGAAUUCUACUACUUUUAGAUAAUUGAUUUCUUCCUUCCCAAGUUUAUUAAUUAAUCAGACAUAAUAGAGAUCAUAAAUUUUAUUAGUAAAGCUUCCAAUUGUGGUAUUAAUUCUAAAAUGAAUGAAUUAACCCACCAUAAUUAAUUAUAGAUUAUAUAAAUAAAAUUCAUAAUUGCACUUCUAGGUAUAAUUUCAAAAUCGUUCAUUAAACCUUAUUUAAAUCCUCAUGUUAAGAUCACACACACAAAUCAAUCGAAUUAAAUUUCUGACAUUUUAAUUCGUUGAUUAAUUUAAUUCUUUAUUCAUAUACUUAUCUCAUGCGAAAAAUUAAAAAAAUCCACCUGCUGAAUUUUUACAUGAAAAAUUAUAAGCAACCAUAAAGAGUUAUCAUCAAUUUCGAGAUCGAGAUAUGAAUUUUAUCCAUUACUACUUCACAAAUAUCAUUUUCAUCAUCCAACUCAUCAGGAACACAUUAACUCUCAAAAGAGUUUCACCUGUUUGAAAGAUCAAGAUAAUGAAUAAAUUACCUUGAUUGUAAUAAUUAUAUCAAUAUUAAGAGUAUAAGUACAUUUAAUGAUUCAGAGAUGUUUUAGAAAAUUCAUAUGACAAACAAUCAUUUCUCCUUAGUCCAUUCAACACACAAAAAGUGUACUAGCAUAAGAAAUUGAAAUACGAUCAUUCCCAUAAUCAAGAAUAAAUUAGAUUUAAUCUUGUGCUACAAUCAUCAAGAUGUUUGUCUAACUUCAUCUUUGAUUGUGAAUAUAACUUUUUACUUUGUAAGAACUGACAAUUUAUUCUUUCGUCCAUGAGCCAUAAAACUCCAUGUACAAAAUCAUCUACUUUAUAAGUAAAAUACACACAUGCAAAUAAAAUGAUCUAUUUAAAACUAAGACUUUAUUAAUUAGAAUAAAUAAAAUAAAAGUCUUACAUAAAAAGAAAAUAUAAUAUUAUACUAAAUCACAUGGUUAAUAUUAGACUCUAAAAAUUUUUAGCUAUCAAACGUAAUGUAUUUAGAGAGUUGAAGACUCUUCACAACAUUUUUGGAAUGGGAAAAGGUUGUCAUUUUGUUGCGCAUGAAAAGGAAUUGGUGUCAUUAUGUUUGCAAUGUAUUGUCUUUUAUUUACUUUCAAGUCUAGUUCAUCGCGGGUCUAAAGUUAUUUUUGAUUUCCACUUGACUAGACAUCUCACUCUCAUAGCCGCAAUAAAACUUUACCAAAAAGAAUCCAUUCGAGAUAAAGAAAAAUCUAGGCUUCGAAAAAAAUUAUCAUGUGCCUUUGGCUUUGUUGAGGAUGUCCCUAAGGGCAGCCCAUAAUUAAGAGCUUGUCAUCUUAAUUUGUUGUGUCACAUUCUUCAAUUUACUCGCACGUUCUUUCAUUGUCCUAGUCCUAAAAGAUAAUUUAUAACCUAUUUUGAGGUUUGACAUAGUUUUUGAGGCUUUGAAGGGUGAUUUGAACCUCUAAAAAUAUUUUUAUAAGUUUCUUAAGUUUUGCAUUAACUAUGGUCAAAUACUUAGUCAAGGCGAUUCUAAAAUAGUGAUUCGGCAACUUCAAGUUUCAACUAGUCCAGAAUGUGUUUUAUGAUUGAUUUACACUAGUAAUUUUUUAUUGGUGGGUCUAGAAUGAGUUUUGAGGGUCUAUGCAUAAUGGUUGACUAUUUUUUAGUUUUUGAGUUGUACUAUGUUCUGUGCAAUCACAUCGACAAAGAUUUUGUAUUUUAAUAAAAAAAUUUUGCUUUGACGAUGUCCCCUUCAAGAGUCGUUCCUCUUAAAUGAGAUGGAAGAAUUUGGAUGGUGGUCGCUUCUGCGAGAUUGGCGUCAGAAGAGUGACAUCGUCUCUUUGAGAUUUUUCCACACAACUUUACGCCUGCGAGAUCCCUUUUGCUUCUGUGAAGCUAGAUCAUUUAAUGACGUUUACAUUUGUGAGAUUUGUCUGCUAUUUGUGACGAAUUUCCUGCUUCAACGAAAAUCUCUAUGCUCAAAUUUUGAUUUCAUAAUUUCAAAUUUAAUUUUGGGAGAUUUUCAGCAUAGAUUGAGAUAAAUUUUUAGCGUUUUCCAAGAAUUAUUCGGGGGGGUGGGGUAAAUUUCUAACCUCACAUAUUGAUUUCUCCCUAUCUAUUUAUAAUCUAUUUCUUUAUCAUGUAUAAAAAAUGAUUUUAUGAAGAUUUUUCUCCUAAGUUUAAAAGGUCAAUGAAUUUAGGAGAUUUGAGAAACGAUUUGAACUUCAUUUUUAUGCAAUUUCAUAUUUAAGAACUUAUCAUAUGAAUCUAAGGAUUCUGAAAGAAAAUGUCAAUUUUGACAAUAAAUCUUAGGAUUGACUUUUUGAUCCGAUUUGUUCGAGCUUUAAUAUUACAAUAUGAGUAUCGAUGGACUUGUAUUUAUGUAUAGAUCAUAUUUCACUUACUCUAUGAAAGAAGAAUAUUGUGUUUUUAUAGUUUGAUGAUUAUCGUUAAACUUCGAGGUAGAUUAUGACUUACACUUCUAAAAUUUAGCUUAGAUUAAAGCAUACAUGGAUUAGGGUGAAAUGAUGGGACAAAGUUCUAAAAGUAUGAUUUAAUCUCGUGGCACUUGACAUGGGGUUUUAACCAUUAAAUAACUUGAGACUUGCAAAUUGUAUUUACUACUGAGUCAUAUGAAGAAGCAUGACCUACUGGCAUGAGUUUGAUGAUUUAGUUAUCGAUUGAUGAGGUAUUGAGAAAUUUAUAUUUUCAUGUUAGUUGCAUUCGAAACUUACUUACUAACUAUGAUCAUGUGUAUUCACUCAUUCUCAUGGAUCACUAAUUUGCAACUAUGAAAAUAAUAUUUUUGAAUGAAAAUUGUGAUGCCUAUGAGAAAUGAUUUUAAGUGAAUUUUUAUUGAUAACAAUGAUACCAAGGACAAAUAUCAAUUUGCAUGCUCAAAGAAACUAUUUUGAAUGAACAUAUGGACCUUGCAAUUUUUUCAUGAGUCCCACAUUACAUUAAAGUAACUUGAGAUGUUGAGCGUAUACUGGUAGGAUCAUCUUCCAUUGCAUUUCAUCUCAUACUACUAUCUGUUGUUUCAUAUCUGGUAGUGUAACAUUUGAACUGUUGAGACUUUUUUGCGGAGAAUUAAUAGUAUUCUUUAUGUGAUAUAGUUACUACUCUUACUUGGAUGACCUAUGAUGUAUUUUGAGUACUUGUGAUUUAUAGUCACUCUACAUUUAUUGUGUUUUUCUGAUACGUAAUUCUGGUACUAACAAAACUCGUUUACUCUAUUUGUUCGGGGUGACUUGGAGUUUUGGUAAGUUUCUUGAGUUUUGAGCCUUAAGAACAACUUCAUCUAUUCUUACUUUCUAUUUUAUUAUUUUUUAGACAGUUGAUAUAGUAGAUUUAGUAUUUCCUUGUAUUAGAAAGUUCUUAUACACAUGAAAAAAAGUCUUAGGAUAUUUUGAAAAAUUUGAAACUUAGGUAAGUACUUUCUAAGAAUAUAUGUAAAAACAUCAUAAUGUGUUUUAAAAUUUUACUCAUUAUACACACACACACACACAUAUAUAUACAUAUAUAAAUAUGUAUAUAUAUAUAUGAAUAUAUAUUUGAAGAGAUUCAGUAUUAUUACUUUUUAAAGCAUUUUUUUGGACUAUACAGACCUUUUUAUUAAUAGUCAACUAAAAUAAAUUGGUCCGAUCAUAGGCCCAAAAUCAUCAAAAAAACAACAAAAGUUAAAAAAAUGAUUGGGUUAAGCCCACUACAAAAAUGAUCCGAUCCUUUUUAUAUAUGAGUUCUGCUAUACACAUUGUUCCAUCUUUCCAUAAGGACCUUUUCUCUCCCCCAGAAAUGCUCCCAGCUGGUUCUCGAUUGAACCUCUAUUUUCGCUUUCUCCUCCUUUAGGUGAUUAGAUAUUUGGUGCCCGAAGGAAAUGAUGUUGUCUUGGUCGCACAAGAGCUUUCAUAUUUUUAAGGUAGUCUAAGCUCAUCCUUUCUUUGCCUGUUUCUCAUUUGUAAGUAAUCUUGUUUUCUCUUGAUGUCUUCAGGUGUUUGGGACUGAGUCAAAAGAGGUACACGUCUAGAGUUCACAGCUCUCCUCUUUGUAAGUAUCUCCUUCUUACUCUCUUACUUUUCUUCUACUUAUCUCUCAUUCGACCUUAGCUUUUUUCUUCCAGAUUUGUCUUAUGACUCUAACGUCAAAUUAUCGCUAACCGUCGUUCUUUCAAGUUAGAUCUAACGUCGGACCCUUUUGUUUUUUGAUGAAUAUUUUUUCUGUUCUAACAUAGUUUAGCCAAACUAGCUUAGCAGCUUUAUAGACCUGUGCCAUGGGUAAACACUAAUUUAAAAAUUUAUACUGCUACCUCUGCUUAUCUCUUCUCUUCUAAAUUAUGGUUGUAUGUUCUAAUGUCUGAUGAUUUUCCUUGUUCUUAAUAUUAUUCUUGGUAUUUGAGCCUUGUUUAUAUUGAGUAUCCUUCUCCCUUUUGAUGGAAUCUCGCUGAAAUUGUUACACGUAAUCUUUUGUUGUAUGAAUGCUUUAUUUGCUAUGUAAUCUCCUAGCUGGUUUCCUUCCCUAAAGAUGUGUUAGAUGGUAGCUCCAUGUAACCUCAUUUUAUCCCUUAUUUUUUCAAUUAUAUAUUUUCACUAAUUCCCAUGACACAUUUCACAAAUCCUUAAUGAUGUUCACCAUGGCCAGUGAGUUCGUCUCUCGAAUAAAAUCUUGUACUCCUUUGUUUAAAUUAUUUUUGAGCACAUGUGGAAUUUCCCAUGCUUUUGCUUUCAAAUUAGUUGUAGUUUCAAUAUGUUCAGUUUUUCUAUAAACGAAGUCCCCCUAUUAGUUUUUGGGGACAACAUCAUAAGAACUGAGGCCUGGAUUUUCUCUGCUUGCCCUAUCUGUAUUGUACUUAAGACUUCCUAUAUCUGAAGGAUUCCAAGUCACCAAAUGAUGGUAGAUUCUAUUCUUGUGACUCCCAAUAUCACUUAUCACAUCCUUUCACUUUUUUUUUGUCCUCCCGAUUUUAGGGUAGAGUAGUUGUACCAUUUGAUUGACUGUUGUGUGAAUAAGUCAAACCAUCUGAAUGAACUCCAUAUUCUUUUCAUGUCUUAUCUUAUUUCUUCUUUUCCAUAGUUCCUAGAUUAUCAAUGCAGGAAUUGCAUUGUAUAUCUUGUGCAAUUUGUUAUUCCAAUCCUUGUACCACUAUUCUAUGAUUUCAAGAUAAAGUUGUACGCCAUCUAUUUUUAUACUUGCAAAAUAAACAAACCUUCGAUAACCUUUGAGCUUGGGAGCUGUUAGAAAUAAGUAAUUCAUGGUCUACUUAUUCCAAUCGUCAUAACACCAACGCCUUGAUACUAUAGAAAUUUUCAGUCUUUAAAGAUUUUCAUCUGUGGAAACCCUUUCUUUCCAAACUUUCCAUAAGAAGAAAUUUAUUUUGAAAGGAACAUCUUUUACCCAAAUCUUUCUAUAGUUUUCCUGUUCCUCCUUUUUUAUUUCUAACUAUGUCCCAUGCUGAUUUAAAUGAGAACUUUCUGCUUGUAGUCCCACCCACCAUGGAUUAUCCGACCUUUCUUCCAUUAGCCUUGGGUUAAUUAUAUUCUAUAUGUGAUUUACUAUUUCCUUUGAUAUGAACAUAAGAAGUUUCUUUCUAUUCUAUCUUCCCUCUGUUAUAAAAUAUUUCACUUCUAAUUCUUCCUCACCCUUCCUCUUAUCCUCUACAUAGUAAAAUGCAUCAUGUUUUGUUCAAUUAUCAAGUCAAAAACUUUAGUUUCCACCUUUAAGUUGCCACCAUAUGUAAUGCUCCACCUCAUAUCUGAUUUUCAUCAACGUUAUCCUUACAUAUGAAGCUUCUGUGUCUUAAGCUAGAAUGGGAUGCCAUUUCUGACAAUAUUGAUUCCACAUAAAAUGCACUAUAGUGAAUUCGUGGAUAUUUUGAAAUUCCACCAAAAUUUGAUAAAAAGGGCAUCUUUACAAAAGUGCAAUAAUCUAAACCUAGUCCUCCCUCUUCUAUAGGAAGAUAUAAUGUAUCUCAUGCCACCUAGUGUCUUCCUUUGAGAGCACCUUUCCCUGAAAAAUUUAACCAUUAUCCUAUGUAUUUGAUUUAUGACUCCUUUAGGAAAGUUCAUGACAAACAUCAGAUAUAUUGACAGUGACUGUAAAACAUGAUUAAUCAAAAUGUGCAUCCCUCCAAAAGUUAACAACUUGUUUUGCCGUUGCAUAAUUAUUCUCAUAAACUUAUUCACUAGGGUCUCACAAUGGGCCUUCUUCUUCCUUUUAUAGAAUAUAGGGCAUCCCAAAUAUGUAAAAGGGAAGCUUCCUUGUCCAACAUUAUUACUUUGUUAUAUAAUAUGAAUGUUAUGUGACAUGUAUAUGUGUGAAAUAUCAUUUAUUAGAGAUAAUAGUCAGUAGUCAAGUUGGAUUUAAAGACCAAACUUACUUGUUCAAUUUGAAUUUGAAUACCUAAAUAGUUGGACAACUUGAUGUCAAGCUUAGCAACCUUAAGGAGUAAGUCUGGUGGUCUAUAAAUAGCCACCGUUUUGUACAUUUUUAUACAGGUCAAAAUAGUAAAACAAAAGUAUUACUAAAGUUCUCUCCUUUCUUUAAGUUUGAUAUUGAUAUUGUAUCUUUAUUUUAUAACACGUUAUCAGCACGAGACUCUACCAUCUCACAAUUUAAAGGCUAAAAACAAAAAUUUGGAUCAGAAAGUGGAGAAGGCAAGAUCGCAAGAACUAUGUGAUCAUCAUGAUUUGGAUUUUACCUUUCUAUUAUUUAUGAUAAGAUAAGUAUAUUAUUAACUUACGUUCUUUAAUUAAGUUUGAAAAAAAUAUUGAUAAUCACAAAGUGGUGAUAUUGUUAUAGACUCAAGUUUGAGUUUAUUAUACUUUGGCCUAAUAUAUUAUUAGUCGAGGGUGUGAUGAUGGAUUUAAAUCUUAUGCCAUUAAGAGGGUAAGACAUUGGGUUAAGAGCCCUGAUGCACCAUGAUGAUAAGAUGUUGGGUUUAACUCCCAUUGAUUUUUGGCCUAAGAUGACUUUAUAUAGAUAAGACGUUGAGUUUGAAUCUCAAUGCACCAUAUUGAUGAUAUAAUGAUUACUAAGCAAAAAUUUCAGUGAAAUGAAAUAUUUACAAGUGAACAUGCUCCAUUCGCUGAAGUGAAUGUAGUAGCAGUGCAUAAUAUGUCUUAAAGAAGACAUGUGAUUAAAUUUAUGAAUAUAAAUAUAAGUGUAAUAGGAACAAAACCUUCCAUUACAUUAUAUGUACUACCCGAUUUUCUCAUGAAGGAGCCAUAUAUUGAAAGAACUUCUAAGCAAUCAUAAUUUGAUAGGCUUAAGACAUCAUUAUAUUUCAUUCUCGGGGAACGAAAAUUUUGAUUGUUAAGACUAUAAAUUCAUUUCCUGAGAAGAAUGUGAUAGGAGUAACACCUCCAUAAGAGGUUGAAUAGUUGAAAAGAAAUAUUAUGAAAUAUACUCUAAAAUAAUAAACUUGAAAAAUGAUUCAUGUUCUAGUAAAUCUGAAAUUUACUAAGUAAAAGUCAUAUGUCAUGGUAAACUUGGAGUUUACUAGUACAAAUAAGUUGAUAAGUUAACAUGAACGAUUUUGACAUCUUGAAGAUGUGCACAUUGAGUAUUACACAACAUAUAUUAAUGAACUAGAAGAUUUUUCAAAGAACAUUAUGAGUUCUCAAAUGAUCCUUCAAAAGGUGAAGGUAAUUUUUGUCACUAAUGGGCAUGGUAUGAAAGGUCAUUGGGCACGUGAUUGUCGUGCGACCUAAUUUGAUAUAAGUUCUAUAUUCUCCACCAAAAUAAAGAAAUAUAAAGUGAUGGUGUACUUUAUAUUUUUAAGUGAUGUUGAGGUUUGUCACGUAAAUAUAAUAAAUUUUACGGCGUGAGAAUCCGCUUCUAAUGAAAAUUUAUGAAGUAUGUAUAUAUGAUUAUAAUUCAUUCCUUCAAGAAAAGAAACUUGUGAUAAGCAUCGUUGAUGGUCGAGAAUUCUUGAAAUGAAUGUGUCAAGAUAUGAUAUAAAUUAUAAAUAAGGACAUGCUCAUGCACUGUUGGAUAAAUUUCACAUCUCACCUCUACGGGUGGUUUGAGAAAAAUUAAGAAAAUUUUAUUUUGACAUAAACAGUCAUUAAUCGCACACUUGUAGUAUGCCAUAAAUAUUUUAAUAUGUUUAUCAUGGAUUACCAAAGGGUAAAAACAAGAAACAAGUCCUUUCUAUAUAAUGUUUUAAGAUUAUGAUUGUACUUAUAUGAUUUUCUCUUUAAAGGAGAUAUUCACCAUAUGAAUGGUGCGUGAAAUAUGUGAUAGUACACUAAAUUAAUUGAGAGACCCAAACGAGCUUAAGUGUUACUAUCUGGAGGAAUGAAAUUAUUUAUAAUAUUGUGAUUGUAGUAAGUCUAAACAAAAACUUAUUAAGAUCCAAAGAUAUUGGCCAAACAUAAAUUAUAUUCAGGCUAUAAAUAAUGAA
rnacentral:lncRNA from 1 species